rnacentral:lncRNA from 1 species
UUUCCGCGAGAUUUCAUUUGGAGACCCUUCCCGGCACCCUGCCGGAGGGGACUUUGGAGGUGGAGGGCUUCUUCAUCAUCAUCAUCGCCCCUCCAAUGACUCGUGAGUAGUUCACUUCAGACCUACGGGUCCGUAGUUAGUAGCUAGAUGACUUCUUCUCUCUCUUGGAUCUUCAAUACAAAGUUCUCCAUGAUCUUCANNNNNNNNNNNNNNNNNNNNNNNNNNNNNNNNNNNNNNNNNNNNNNNNNNNNNNNNNNNNNNNNNNNNNNNNNNNNNNNNNNNNNNNNNNNNNNNNNNNNGCAAAAAAAUCAGGGGAGCCUCGAAAAUACUUUUCCGCCGCCGCAAGCUUCCAUUUUCGCGAGAUCUCAUCUGGAGACCCUUCCCGGCGCCCUGCCGGAGGGGACUUUGGAGUUGGAGGGCUUCUUCAUCAUCAUCAUCGCCCCUCCAAUGACUCAUGAGUAGUUCACUUCAGACCUACGGGUCCGUAGUUAGUAGCUAGAUGGCUUCUUCUCUCUCUUGGAUCUUCAAUACAANNNNNNNNNNACAAAAAAUCAGGGGAACCUCGAAAAUACUUUUCCGCCGCCGCAAGCUUCUGUUUCCGCGAGAUCUCAUUUGGAGACCCUUCCUGGCGCCCUGCCGGAGGGGACUUUGGAGUUGGAGGGCUUCUUCAUCAUCAUCGCCCCUCCAAUGACUCGUGAGUAGUUCACUUCAGACCUACGGGUCCAUAGUUAGUAGCUAGAUGGCUUCUUCUCUCUCUUGGAUCUUCAAUACAAAGUUCUCCAUGAUCUUAAUGGAGAUCUAUCCGAUGUAAUCUUCUUUGGCGGUGUGUUUGUCGAGAUCGGAUGAAUUGUGGAUUUGUGAUCAGAUUAUCUAUGUUAUAUAUUUGAGUAUUUUUUGAUUUCUUAUAUGCAUGAUUUGAUAUCCUUGUAAGUCUCUCCGAGUCUUGGGUUUUCUUUGGCCAACUAGGUCUAUGAUUCUUGCAAUUGGAGAAGUGCUUGGUUUUNNNNNNNNNNAUGUGUUUGUCGAGAUCCGAUGAAUUGUGGAUUUGUGAUCAGAUUAACUAUGUUAUAUAUUUGAGUCUUUGCUGAUUUCUUAUAUGCAUGAUUUGAUAUCCUUGUAAGUCUCUCCGAGUCNNNNNNNNNNGCAGCAAGGCACACAUUAAGUAGUUGCCAUCAAGGAUAACAAGAUGGGCUCUGUCGUUGAGAUGAUAUUGUCUAUCUACAUCAUGUCAUCUUGCUUAAGGCGUUACUCUAUUCUUUUGGACUUAAUACACUAGAUGCAUGCUGGAUAGCGUCGACGUGCGGAGUAAUGGUAGUAGAUGCAGAAAGUAUCGGUCUACUUGUUUUGGACGUGAUGCCUAUAGAUAUAAUCAUUGCCAUAGNNNNNNNNNNNNNNNNNNNNNNNNNNNNNNNNNNNNNNNNNNNNNNNNNNNNNNNNNNNNNNNNNNNNNNNNNNNNNNNNNNNNNNNNNNNNNNNNNNNNUUAUUAUAUUUCCUCUUUAAUGGUAAUCGUUUAUUAUCCAUGCUAUAAUUGUAUUGAAUGAAAACAUAGAUACAUGUGUGGAUACAUAGACAAAACAAUGUCCCUAGCAAGCCUCUAGUUGGCUAGCCAGUGGAUCAAUGAUAGUCAAGGUUUUCUGACUAUGUGCAAGUGUUGUCACUUNNNNNNNNNNCUUGUAAAUAUGCCCUAGAGGCAAUGAUAAAUAGUUAUUAUUAUAUUUCCUGUUUAAAGAUACUCGUUUAUUAUCCAUGCUAUAAUUGUAUUGAAUGAGAACAAAGAUACAUGUGUGGAUAUAUAGACAAAACAAUGUCCCUAGCAAGCUUCUAGUUGGCUAGCCAGUUGAUCAAUGAUAGUCAAGGUUUUCUGACUAUGUGCAAGUGUUGUCACUUGAUAACUGGAUCACAUCAUUAGGAGAAUCAUGUGAUGGACUAGACCCAAACUAUGAACGUAACAUAUUGAUCAUGUCAUUUUAUUGCUAUUGUUUUCUGCGUGUCAAGUAUUUGUUCCUAUGACCAUGAGAUCAUAUAACUCAUUGGCANNNNNNNNNNUACAUCAUUUUAGGAGAAUCAUGUGAUGGAUUAGACCCAAACUAUGAACGUAGCAUAUUGAUCAUGUCAUCUUAUUGCUAUUGUUUUCUGCAUGUCAAGUAUUUGUUCCUAUGACCAUGAGAUCAUAUAACUCAUUGGCACCGGAGAAUACCUUGUGUGCAUCAAACGUCGUAACGUAACUGGGUGACUAUAAAGGUGUUCUACAGGUAUCUCCGAAGGUGUCCGUUGAGUUAGUAACUUAGUAUGGAUUAAGACUCGGAUUUGUCACUCCGUGUGACGGAGAGGUAUCUUGGGGCCCACUCGGUAAUACAACAUCACACACAAGCCUUGCAAGCAUUGUGACUAAGUGUAAGUCACGAGAUCUUGUAUUACGGAAUGAGAAAAGAGACAUGCCGGUAACGAGAUUGAAAUAGGUAUGCAGAUACCGACGAUCAAAUCUCGGGCAAGUAACGUACCGAAGGACAAAGGGAAUGACAUACAGGAUUAUAUGAAUCCUUGACACUAAGCUUCAACCGAUAAGAUCUUCGGAGAAUAUGUAGGAUCCAAUAUGGGCAUCCAGGUCCCGCUAUUGGAUAUUGACCGAGGAGUGCCUCGGGGCAUGUCUACAUAGUUCUCAAACCCGCAGAGUCUGCACACUUAAGGUUCGAUGAUGUUUUAGUAUGGUUGAGUUAUAUGUGUAGUUACUGAAUGUUGUUCGGAGUCCCGGAUGAUAUCAUAGACGUCACGAGGGUUUCCGGAAUGGUCGGGAAAUGAAGAUUGAUAUAUAGGAUGACUUCAUUUGGUUACCGGAAGGUUUUCGGGCAUUACCGGGAAUGUACCGGGAGUGACGAAUGGGUUCCGGAAGUUUACCGUGAGUGGGGCAACCCACCCGAGGGAAGCCCAAAGGACCUUGGGGUGGCACACCAGCCCUUAGUGGGCUGGUGGGACAGCCCAAGAGGGCCUAUGCGCCAAGAAAAUAAAACCAAAGAAAAAGAAAAAAAAAAGAGGUGGGAAGGAAGAGAAGGACUCCACUUUCCAAUCCUAGUUGGACUAGGAUUGGAGUAGGACUCCUCCUCUCCCUUGGCCGGUGCACCCUUGAGGGCUUGGCCCUCAAGGAAAGCCUCCUCCCCCUCCCUCCUAUAUAUAGUGGUGAUUUAAGGCUGAUUUGAGACAACUUUUGCCACGUGCAACUCAGAUCUAGACACCNNNNNNNNNNNNNNNNNNNNNNNNNNNNNNNNNNNNNNNNNNNNNNNNNNNNNNNNNNNNNNNNNNNNNNNNNNNNNNNNNNNNNNNNNNNNNNNNNNNNCCAAGCAAUGUGACUAAGUGUAAGUCAUGGGAUCUUGUAUUACAGAACAAGUAAAGAGACUUGCCAGUAACGAGAUUGAAAUAGGUAUGCGGAUACCGACGAUCAAAUCUCGGGCAAGUAACAUACCGAAGGACAAAGGGAAUGACAUACGGGAUUAUAUGAAUCCUUGACACUGAGGUUCAACCGAUAAGAUCUUCGGAGAAUAUGUAGGAUCCUAUAUGGGCAUCGAGGUCCCGUUAUUGGAUAUUGACCGAGGAGUGCCUCGGGGCAUGUCUACAUAGUUCUCGAACCCGUAGGGUCUGCACACUUCAGGUUGAUGAUGUUUUAGUAUAUUUGAGUUAUAUGUGUGGUUACGAAUGUUGUUCGGAGUCCCGGAUGAGGUCACGGAUGUCAGAGGGCUUCCAGAAUGGCUGGGAAACGAAUAUUGAUAUAUAGGAUGACUUCAUUUGGUUACCGGAAGGUUUUCGAACAUUAUCGGGAAUGUACCGGGAGUGACCAAUGGGUUCCAGAAGUUCGCCGGGAAGGGGGCAACCCACCCGGGGGAAGCCCAAAGGCCCUAGGGGUGGCGCACCAGCCCUUAGUGGACUGGUGGGACAACCCAAGAGGGCCUAUGCGCCAAGAAAAGGAAACCAAAGAAAAAGAAAAAAAGAGGUGGGAAGGAAGAGAAGGACUCCAGUUUCCAAUCCUGGUUGGACUAGGAUUGGAGUAGGACUCCUCCUCUCGCUUGGCUGGCGCACCCUUGAGGGCUUGGCCCUCAAGGCAAGCCUCUUCCCCCUCCCUCCUAUAUAUAGUGGUGAUUUAGGGCUGAUUUGAGACAACUUUUGCCACGUGCAACUCAGAUCUAGACACCAUAGUUUUACCUCUAGGUCGUAUUUCUCCGGAGCUCGGGCGGAGCCCUGCAGGAGUAGAUCCUCACCACCACCAGAGUGCCGUCAUGCUGCCGGAGAACUCAUAUACUUCUCCGUCUUGCUUGCUGGAUCAAGAAGGCCGAGAUCAUCAUCGAGCUGUACGUGUGCUGAAUGCGGAGGUGCCGUACGUUCGGCACUAGAUCGUAACAGAUCGCGGGACGGUUCGUGGGAUGGUUCGUGGGGCUGAUCGAGGGACAUGAGGACGUUCCGCUACAUCAACCGCGUUUCUUAAUGCUUCUUGUUGUGCGAUCUACAAGGUUACGUAGAUCCAAAUAUCCUCUCGUAGAUGGACAUCACCAUGAUAGGUCUUCGUGUGUGUAGGAUUUUUUUUGUUUCCCAUGCAUCGUUCCCCAACAUGCGGCAGCCCCAUCUGGCGUGGGAGGUGGCAGCCAGGGCAAGGGAGAGGGGGAUGGCGCACCCCAGAUGGGCCUUAGGCCAAUCUGCACUAGGGUUUCCCCCCUUCCCUCUCUUGCUGCGCUUUCGUCCUAGGUGGGAGGCGCACCAGCCCACUCUCGGCUGGUUGCCUUCCACCUUUUGGCCCAUGCCAGCCUUUGGGGCUGGUGGCCCCUCCUAGUGGACCCCUGGAACCCUUCCAGUGGUCCCGGUACGUUACCGGUGACGCUCGAAACAUUUCCGGUGUCCAAAAACUCUCAUCCUAUAUAUCAAUCUUUACCUCCGGACCAUUCGGGAGCUUCUUGUGACGUCCGGGAUCUCAUCCGGGACUCCUAACAACCUUCGGUAACCACGUACACGAUUUCCCUAUAACCCCGACGUCAUCAAACAUUAAGUGUGUAGACCCUACGGGUUGGGGAGACGUGCAGACAUGACCGAGACAUCUCUCCGGCCAAUAACCAACAACGGGGUCUGGAUAUCCAUGUUGGUUCCCACAUGUUCCACGAUGAUCUCAUCAGAUGAAUCACGAUGUCAAGGAUUCAAUCAAUCCCGUAUGCAAUUCCCUUUGUUUAUCGGUAUGAUACUUGCCCGAGAUUUGAUUGUCGGUAUCCCUAUACCUUGUUCAGUCUCGUUACCCGGCAAGUCUCUUUACUCGUUCCGUAACACAUCAUCCCGUGGCUAACCAGUCACACUGAGCUCAAUAUGAUGAUGGAUUACCGAGUGGGCCCAGAGAUACCUCUCUGUCACACCGAGUGACAAAUCCCCGUCUCGAUUGGUACAACUCAACAGACACUUUCGGAGAUACCCGUAGUGCACCUUUAUAAUCACCCAGUUACAUUGUGACGUUUGGUACACCCAAAGCACUCCUACGGUUUCCAGGUGUUGCACAAUCUUACGGUCGAAGGAAAAGACACUUGACAUUAGAAAAGCUUUAGCAUACGAACAACACGAUCUAGUGCUAUGCUUAGGAUUGGGUAUUGUCCAUCACAUCGUUCCCCAAUGAUGUGAUCCCGUUAUCAACGACAUCCAAUGUCCAUGAUCAUCUAUUGAUCAACCAGCUAGCCAACUAGAGGCUUACUAGGGACACAUUGUGAUCUAUAUAUUCACACAUGUAUUACGGUUUCUGGUUAAUACAAUUAUAGUUUGAAUAAUAGGAAACUAUCAUGAACUAGGAAAUAUAAUAAUAACCAAUUUAUUAUUCCCUCUAGGGCAUAUUUUCCAACAGUCUCCCACUUGCACUAGUGUCAAUAAUCUAGUUCACAUCACUAUGUGAUUGCAAUGAAUCCAACACCCAUAUAGUUCUGGGGUUCGAUCAUGUCUUGCUUGUGAGAGAGGUUUAUUAGUCAAUGGGUCUGAACCUUUCAGAUCCGUGUGUGCUUUACAAAUCUCUGUGUCUUCAUAUAGAUACUGCUACCAUGCACCAUUUGGAACUAUUCCAAAUGACUGCUCCACUAUACGAAUCCGGUUUACUACUCAUAGUCAUUUGGAUUAGUGACAAAGCUUGCAUCGACGUAAACCCUUUACGAUGAACUCUUUAAUCAACUCCAUAAUCGAGAAAAAAAAUCCUUAGUCCACUAGUUACUAAUGAUAUCUUUGACCUCUAUCCAGUGAUCCUUUCCUGGAUCACCCUUGUACCCCUUGACUGACUCAUGGCAAGGCACACUUUAGGUGCGGUACACAGCAUAUCAUACUUAUAGAGCCUACGGCUGAUGCAUAGGGGACGACCUUCGUCCUUUCUCUUUCUUAUGCCGAGGUUGGGCUUUUGAGUCUUACUAAAAAAUUCACACCUUAUAACACAGCCAAGAACUCCUUCUUUUGCCGAUCUAUUUUGAACACUUUCAAAAAAAUUGUCAAGGCAUGCAUUUUGUUGAAAGUUCAAUUAAGCACUUUGAUCUAUCUCCAUAGAUCUUGAUGCUCAAGGUUCAGUUAGCUCACCCAGGCUUUCCUUUGAAAAACUCCUUUCAAAGAACCCUUUAUGCUUUCCAGUAUUUCUACAUUAUUUCCGAUCAACAAUAUGUCAACAAUAUAUUCAUUAGAAAUUCUAUAGUGCUCCCACUCACUUCUUUGGAAAUACAAGUUUCUNNNNNNNNNNUAUAAAACCAAAAACUUUGAUCAUCUCAUCAAAGUGUAUAUUCCAACUCCGAGAUGCUUGCUCCAGUCCAUAGAAGGAUCGAUGAAGCUUUGGAUACUUGUUAGCACCCUUUAGGAUCGACAAAAUCUUCUGGUCGUAUCACAUACAACCUUUCCUCAAGGAAACCGUCGAGGAAACAAUAUUUUUUGACAUCCUAUCUGCAAGAUUUCAUAAAUGAUGCAGCAACUGCUAACAUAAUUCCAACAGACUUUCAGCAUCGCUACGAGUGAGAAAGUUUCAUCAUAGUCAAGUCUUUGAACUUUGUCGGAAACACCUUUGCGACAAGUCGACCUUUCUUGAUGGUGACUUUUCACCAUCAUCGUCUGUCUUACUUUUAAAGGUCCAUUCAUAGUUAAUAGUCUUAUGACCAUCAGGUGGUUCUUCCAAAGUCUAUACUUUGUUUUCAUACAUGGAUCCUCUCUCGGAUUUCAUGGCCUCCAGCCAUUUGUCGGAAUCCAGGCCCACCAUCGCUUCUCCAUGUCUCGUAGGUUCAUUGUGUCCAACAACAUGACCUCUAAGACGGGAUUACCUUACCACUCUGUAGUAGUACGCAUCCUUGUCCACCUACGAGGUUUUGGCAGUGACUUGAUCCGAAACUGCAUGAUCACUAUCAUAAGCUUCCACUUCAAUUGGUGUAGGCGCCACAUGAACAACUUCCUGCGCCCUGCCAUACACUGGUUGAAGUGAUGGUUCAAUAACCUCAUCAAGUAUCCACCAUACUCCCACUCAACUCUUUCGAGAGAAAUCUUUCCUCGAGAAAGGACCCGUUUCUAGAAAUAAACACUUUUGCUUCCGGAUCUGAUAUAGGAGGUAUACGCAACUGUUUUGGGUGUCCUAUGAAGAUGCAUUUAUCCGCUUUGGGUUCGAGCUUAUCAAGCUGAAACUCUUUCACAUAAGCAUCACAACCCCAAACUUUUAAGAAAUGACAGCUUAUGUUUCUCUAAACCAUAGUUCAUACGGUGUCAUCUCAAAGGAAUCACGUGUCCCUUUUUAAAGUGAGUGCGGUUGUCUCUAAUGCCUAACCCAUAAACGAUAGUGGUAAUUUGAUAAGAAAUAUCAUAGUAUGCACUAUAUCUAAUAGGGCACGACUAUGACAUACGGACAUACCAUCAGACCAUGGUGUUCCAGGUGACAUGAGUUGUGAAACAUUUUUCACGUGAAACAAUUUUUACCUUGUCUUAAACGUUUACCAAACUCACAACUCAUAUAUAUAUAUAUAUAUANNNNNNNNNNNNNNNNNNNNNNNNNNNNNNNNNNNNNNNNNNNNNNNNNNNNNNNNNNNNNNNNNNNNNNNNNNNNNNNNNNNNNNNNNNNNNNNNNNNNCCUUUGAGGUGGCUUCCAAACCCUCACAAACUUUUCCGGGGGGUAAUCGCAUGGAUUGAUUCCUCUCCGAAAAACUCCUACCGCCUAGGAGUCUCCAACCUCCAAGAGUAACAAGAUCACGGGGAAUGCUCAAAAUUUGCUCAAAUCACAAAUAUCUUGGGUUGAGAGAAGGAGAGGGAGACGAUCUAUCUUUUGAUUGGAACAACUCUCAAAGGGGCUCACAAAUGCUCUUGGGAUCUAAGAUUUGGAGUGAGCAAAUGUGUGUGAGGUGGAAAUGUGUUCUUAUGAGGAUAAGGCUGUGUUGGGCUACCCUCUCACGAAGUGGGAGGGGGGUAUUUAUAGUGGGGAGAGAAAAAGAGCCGUUGGGGACACUUUAAGUCACACAGGGUCCGGACGUCCGACAGUUGUCGGAAGUCCGGGCGUCUGCGAGGGGUCGGACGUCCGAGGCCUGUAGAUACGACUGAAACUAUUUUGAAUUAAACAGCGNNNNNNNNNNCGCGAGGGGUCGGAUGUCCGACAGGGGUCGGUCGUCCGAGGCCUGUAGAUACGACUGAAACUAUUUUGAAUUAAACAGCGACCGGACGUCCGACAGGGGUCGGUCGUCUGAGGCCUGUAGAUACGACUGAACCUAUGUUGAAUUUAUCAGCCACCGGACGUCCGGAGAGGACCGGAAAUCUGAGUUAUACAGCUCAACUUCUACUGGUGGUAGGCUCCGGAUUUCCGACUGGUGUCGGACGUUCGGCGCUCGGACGUCCGAAGGGAGCCGGAUUUCCGAGAUAUAGAACUCAACUUCUACUGGUGCAGGNNNNNNNNNNCGAGGCCUGUAGAUACGACUGAACCUAUGUUGAAUUUAUCAGCCAGCGGACGUCCGGAGAGAACCGGAAAUCCGAGUUAUACAGCUCAACUUCUACUGGUGGUAGGUUUCGGAUUUCCGACGGGUGUCGGGCGUCCGGCGCUCGGACGUCCGGAGGGAGCCGGAUUUCCGAGAUAUAGAACUCAACUUCUACUGGUGCAGGCUUCCGGAUUUCCGGGACUUGGCCGGACAUCCGGGCCUCGGACGUCCGGAGGGAGCCGGAAGUCCGAGGUAUAUGGCUCUGAUUUCUCUAGUAUAGGAUUCCAGAUUUCUGAACUAGUUGGUCGUACGGUCCUCGGACGUCCGGAGAAAGCCGGAUGUCCGAGGCACUGGUUCUNNNNNNNNNNAGAUUUCCGGGACUUGGCCGGACAUCCGGGCCUCGAACGUCCGGAGGGAGUCGGAAGUCCGAGUUAUAUGGCUCUGAUUUCUCUGGUAUAGGAUUCCGGAUUUCCGAACUAGUCGGUCGUCCGGUCCUCGGACGUCCGGAGAAAGCCGGAUGUCCGAGGCACUGGUUCUGUUUUCAGAUAACAACAAAACAGUGGAGAUGUGGUCUGAGGAGAAAGUGAUGAUGUAGUUUGAGCAAGUUCAUCGCAAAACCUGUGAUCCCCUCUUAAUAGUGCGGGAUCCCUAAGGACUCAAGAAUCAUAAAAGAGUACUGAUGAUCCAUACUUGAGUGUAUANNNNNNNNNNNNNNNNNNNNNNNNNNNNNNNNNNNNNNNNNNNNNNNNNNNNNNNNNNNNNNNNNNNNNNNNNNNNNNNNNNNNNNNNNNNNNNNNNNNNCAAUGGGUUUCUUUAUCGGAGGGGCAACGACUUUGCACUCUUCUUGGAGUUACCCUUCUUUCGGAGGGGCAACGACUUUGCACUCUUCUUGGAGUUACCCUUCUUUCCCUUGUCGUUUUUCUUAGAACAGGUGGUCUUAUUGACCAUCAACACUUGGUGCUCUUUCUGGAUUUCUGACUCUGCAACUUUCAACAUUGUAAACAGCUCGGCGAGUGACUUAUUCAUACCUUGCAUGUUAUAAUUCAACAUAAAGAUCUUAUAGCAAGGUGGCAGUGAUUGAAGAACUCUGUCAGUGAUAGCCUCUUGCGGGAGAGCAAUCCCCACCUCAGCUAGACGGUUAGAGUACCCAGACAUUCUGAGUACGUGUUCACUGACAGGCCCGCUCUCCUCCAUUUUGCAAGCGUAGAACUUACCGGAGGUUUCAUACCUCUCGAUCCGGGCAUUCUUCUCAAAGAAAAACUUCAACUCUAGAACAUCUCAUAUGCUCCAUGACAUUCAAAACGUCUUUGAAGUCUCAAUUCUAAGCCAUACAAAACUACACAUUCAACUAAUGAGUAGUCAUCCUUACGCGACUGUCAAGCGUUCAUAACGUCUUGGGUCGCUGUAUUGGGUGGUGCAUCACCUAGCGCUACAACAAGGACAUAUUGCUUUUGGGCAGCCGUGAGGAUAAGCCUAAGAUUAUGGGCCCAGUCAACAAAGUUUUUUCCAUCAUCUUUCAACUUAGCUUUCUCUAGGAUCGCAUUAAAAUUCAGGGUUGCUACUGCGCGAGCCAUUGAUCUACAACAUAAAAUUUUGCAAAGAUUACUUAGACUAUGUUCAAGAUAAUUGAGUUUAGCUAAUCAUAUUACUAAUAAAAUCCCACUCAAAUUGACAUCCCUCUAGUCAUUCCAGUGUCACAUGAUCCAAAUUCACUAACUCAAGUCUGAUCAUCAGGUGAGUUGAGUAUACUUUAAAUGGUGAACGUAGAGUCUAUCACACCUGAUUGUUCCGCGUGUGCAACUGUUUUGCACCAGUUGUAUGUGAACGUAGAGUCUAUCACACCCGAUUAUCACGUGGUGUCUCGAAACGAUGAACUGUUGCAACGGUGCACAGUCGGGGAGAACACAAUUUUAUCUUGAAAUUUUAGCGAGGGAUCACCUUAUAAUGCUACCGUCGUCCAAAGAAAAAUAAGGUGCAUAAAAGGAUUAACAUCACAUGCAAAUCAUAAGUGACAUGAUAUGACCAUGAACUUGUGCUUCUUGAUCUCCAUCAUCGGCGCCACACCAUGAUCUCCAUCAUCAUGAUCUCCAUCAUCGUGCUACCAUUGAGGUUGUUGCGCUAACUAUGGCGUUGCUACUAAAGCUACUACUAGAGAUAAAGCAAAGCAUCUCCAAGCGCAAAAUAAUUAAAGACAUCCCUAUGGCUCCUGUCGGUUGCCGUAGCAUUGACGUGCAAGUCGAUAUUUAACUACUACAAUAUGAUCAUCUCAUACAUCCAAUAUAUCAUAUCAUGUCAUUGGCCAUAUCACAUCACAUGCAUACCCUGCAAAAACAAGUUAGACGUCCUCUAAUUUGUUGUUGCAAAUUUUACGUGGCUGCUAUGGUAUCUAGUAUGAUCGCAUCUUACUUACGCAAAGCCACAACGGUGAUUAUACAAAUUGCUAUUUAACCUUCUCAAAGGGCCGCCUCGGUCAAAUCCGAUUCAACUAAAGUUGAAGAAACAGACACCCGCCAGUCACCUUUAUGCAACAAGUUGCAUGUUAGUUGAUGAAACCGGUCUACCGUAAGCAUACGAGUAAUGUUGGUCCAGGCUGCUUCAAUCCAACAAUACCGCCGAAUCAAGAAAAGACUCUGAAGGGCAGCAAAUUGAACAUCAACGCCCACAAACUCUUUUGUGUUCUACUCGAGAUAUCAUCUAUGCAUGAACCUAGCUCAUGAUGCCACUGUUGGGGAACGUCGCAUGGGAAACAAAAUUUUCCUACACACACGCAAGACCUAUCAUGGUGAUGAUCAUCUACACGAGGGGAGAUCGGAUCCACAUACCCUUGUAGAUCGCUAAGCGGGAAGCGUUAAGAAACGCGGUUGAUGUAGUCAAACAUUGUAACAUCCCAAUUUUCGUAAAUUCGGAUGUUAAUAGAUCAUUCAUUUGCAUCUCAUAUUUUAUGCAUCAUUGCGUUCUUCUGAAAAAAUUUAUCGUUAUGUGGCUGCGGGCAAUUUAUCGGAGUGGAGAUAAUAUGACUUCUCCCUUGUGAGUUAAAGUCACCAUUUUGGUUUUUGCAAAUUUUUCUAAACUCCGAAUUAUUUUAGUUGAGUUGUUUUUUUUCAAUCGCGUUGUGUGACCUAGUGCAUAAAACUAUUUUUUAAAAGUUGCAUUAGGUGGAACUAGNNNNNNNNNNNNNNNNNNNNNNNNNNNNNNNNNNNNNNNNNNNNNNNNNNNNNNNNNNNNNNNNNNNNNNNNNNNNNNNNNNNNNNNNNNNNNNNNNNNNUCCCGGGCAUGCACUGGGUUUUCCAGGGAGCCGAUCAACCGUCCUUCACCCAGUGUUGCAUUGCGUCCGAGGUCUUGAAAAUCUUGUCUUAGUCCGGUCUUGAUUAGUAUAUCAAUCUCGCAUCACUCGUGGUAUACACUCAACCGAUAACCCGUCUACUUAAGCAUAGAGAAUAUAACAUUGUCGUCCCGGGGCCAAGUAUCGGGGUGUUGGUGUUCCUACCACAUGAUACUACAACUAUGACUAAAGUUUCCAAGUACCUAGGCAGCAUGCAAAUAGGGCAAAGAAGGUGAUCUACUAUGCAUUGAAAACAUAGGUAAAAUAACAUGAUCAAAGAUGACUUGCCUUGAUGAUAGUUGUCCUGCUCGAGCGUCUCUAAGUAACACGCUUCGCACUCCGGAUGAUCUACCGAUACAUACACAAAGCACACCAUAAGCAAUCCAAUCAUGCCACAAGUAAAAAUAACAUCACAUGCGAUGAUUUGCAAAAGACUACGCAAAAGAAUUUUAUCGCGCGCCGGUAGGCAGAAACUUGUUUCUGUUGAAAACACCAGUAAAAAUACUUUAAAAAAUCUGAAACUUCUACCACAGUAAGAUUUUAUCACUAGAAAACAGUAGCAAAAAGAAUCAACUCAAUAUCAUUUUUCAAACUCCUGGAAUAAGCAAAACAGUGUUUAAACUAAAUCUGCUCUAACUUAUAUUUAAAAAUUUCAAACACAGACAAAUUAUAUGUUUUUAAAAACUACAGAUAAUUUGUGAGCUACUGGAAAAAGAAUCAAUGUCAUUGGACGUAGGGAUAAAAAGUUGUGAUCAAAACAAGAUUGAAAGUUUCUGUUUUCGAAAUCUGGACAGAAAAAUUACUAAACUGCUAGUGCUAAUGAGGUUACACGUGGCAAGAUGCUACUGGUUGUGGUGGCUGUUUGUUUCGUGACUUCGAGCAAAUGGCCUAAGGCUAACAAGGUCGCCGGUUAAUGCAUAAGUGGCUAAAAGAACCUAAUGGUUUUCUGGAAUAAACCGAAGGGGUACUAGUGUUCUAAUCCUAGGCAUUGCAUGGGAUUGCAUGGGAUCUAAUGGCUAGGAGGGGUUGCAUGCAAAUAGAGAGAGAGAGGGAGUUAGCUACCUGUUGCUGGAGGGUGUUGCACCGUGGAAGGAGAGUUGGCCGGCGGGGAGGAGGGAGUAGCUCCGGCGGUGGAGACGUCGGGCGGCGGGGGAGUGGUUCCUCCUCCGCGGGGAAGAGGCGGCGGUGAAGAGAGAGCUCGGGGAGGGCUCCUCCUCCUNNNNNNNNNNNNNNNNNNNNNNNNNNNNNNNNNNNNNNNNNNNNNNNNNNNNNNNNNNNNNNNNNNNNNNNNNNNNNNNNNNNNNNNNNNNNNNNNNNNNCGUGACUUACAGUUAGUCACAUUGCUUGCAAGGCUUGUGUGUGAUGUUGUAUUACCAAGUGGGCCCCGAGAUACCUCUCCGUCACACGGAGUGACAAAUCCCAGUCUUGAUCCAUACUAACUCAACGGACAACUUCGGAGAUACAUGUAGAGCACUUUUAUAGUCACCCAGUUACGUUGCGACGUUUGAUGCACACAAGGUAUUCCUCCGGUGCCAGUGAGUUAUAUGAUCUCAUGGUCAUAGGAACAAAUACUUGACACAAAGAAAACAAUAGCAAUAAAACGACACGAUCAAUAUGUUACGUUCAUAGUUUGGGUCUUGUCCAUCACAUGAUUCUCCUAAUGAUGUGAUCCCGUUAUCAAGUGACAACACUUGCCUAUGGCCAGGAAACCUUGACCAUCUUUGAUCAACAAACUAGUCAACUAGAGGCUCACUAGGGACAGUGUGUUGUCUAUGUAUCCACACAUGUAUUUGAGUUUCCAAUCAAUACAAUUAUAGCAUGGAUAAUAAACGAUUAUUAUGAACAAGGAAAUAUAAUAAUAGCUAAUUUAUUAUUGCCUCUAGGGCAUAUUUCCAACAGUCUCCCACUUGCACUAGAGUCAAUAAUCUAGUUCACAUCACCAUGUGAUUUUAACGAAUCCAACACCCAUAUAGUUAUUGGGUCUGAUCACGUCUUGCUCGUGAGAGAGGUUUUAGUCAACGGUUCUGAAUCUUUCAGAUCCGUGUGUGCUUUACAAAUCUUUAUGUCAUCUUAUAGAUGUUGCUACUACGUGCUAUUCGAAAAUACUCCAAAUAUAUACUCUACCAUACGAAUCUGUUUUACUAUUCAUAGUUAUUCGGAUUAGUGUCAAAGCUUGCAUCAACGUAACCCUUUACGAUGAACUCUUUAACCACCUCCAUAAUCGAGAAAAAUUGCUUAGUCCAUUAGUUACUAAGGAUAACUUUGACCGCUGUUUAGUGAUUCAAUCCUGGAUCACUCUCUGUACCUCUUAACAGACUUGUGGCAAGGCACACAUCAGGUGUGGUACACAGUAUGGCAUACUGUGGAGUCUACGGCUAAGGCAUAGGGGACGACCUUCGUCCUUUCUCUUUCUUCUGUAGUGGUCGGGCUUUUGAGUCUUACUCAAAUUCACACCUUACAACACAACCAAGAACUCCUUCUUUGCCGAUCUAUUUUGAACUCCUUCAAAAACUUGUCAAGGCAUGCAUUUCAUUUGAAAGUUCUAUUAAGCGUAUUGAUCUAUCUCUAUAGAUCUUGAUGUUGAAUGUUAAAAUAGCUCUAUCCAGGUCUUCCUUUGAAAAACUCCUUUCAAACAACCUUUUAUGCUUCACACAAAUUCCACAUUACUUCUGAUCAACAAUAUGUCAACAACAUAUACUUAUCAGAAAUUCUAUAGUGCUCCCACUCACUUCUUUGGAAAUACAAGUUUCUCAUAAACCUUGCACAAACCCAAAAGCUUUGAUCAUCACAUCAAAGGGUAUAUUCCAACUUCGAGAUGCUUGCACCAGUCCAUAAAAGGAUCGUUGGAACUUGCAUACUUGUUAGUAUCUUUAGGAUCGACAAAACCUUGAUUGUAUCACAUACAAUCUUUCCUCAAGGAAACCGUCGAGGAAACAAUGUUUUGACCUCCUAUAUGUGCAAUAUUUCACAAAUAAUGCAGCAACUACUAACAUAAUUCCGACAGACUUUUAGCAUCACUACGAGUGAGAAAGUCACAUCAUAGUCAACUCUUUGAUUUUGUCGAAAACAUCUUUGCGACAAGUCAAGCCUUUCUUAAUAGUGACUUAUCACCAUCAUCGUCUGUCUUCCUGUUAAAGAUCCAUCUUUACUUAAUAGUCUUACUACCAUCAAGUAUUUCUUCCAAAGUCUACACUUUGUUUUCAUACAUGGAUCCUCUCUCGGAUUUCAUGGCCUCCAGCCAUUUGUAAGAAUCCGGGCCCACCAUUGCUUCUCCAUAGCUCGUAGGUUUAUUGUUGCUCAACAACAUGACCUCUAAGACAGGGUUACUGUACCACUCUGCAGCAGUACGCGACCUUGUCGACCUAUGAGGUUUGUAGUAACUUGAUGUGAAGCUCAAUGAUCAGCAUCAUCAGUUUCCACUUCAAUUGGUGUAGGCGCCACAAGAACAUCUUCCUGUGCCCUGCUACACACUGGUUGAAGUGACAGUUCACUACCCUCAUCAAGUUCCGCCACCCUCCCACUCAAUUCUUUCGAGAGAAACCUUUCCUCGAGAAAGGACCCAUUUCUAGAAACAAACACUUCGCUUCCGGAUCUGAGAUAGGAGAUGCACCCAACUGUUUUGGAUAUCCUAUGAAGAUGCUUUUAUCCGUUUUGGGUUCGACCUUAUCAGACUGAAACUUUUUCACAUAAGCAUCGCAGCCCCAAACUUUUAAGAAACAACAUCUUAGGUUUCUCCAAACCAUAGUCUAUACUGUGUCAUCUCAACGGAAAUACGCGGUGCCCUAUUUAAAAUGAAUGCGGUUGUCUCUAAUGUAUAAACCAUAAACGAUAGUGGUAAUUCGAUAAGAGACAUCAUAGUAUGCACCAUAUCAAAUAGGGCGUGGCUAUGACAUUCAGACACAUCAUCACACUAUGGUGUUCCACGUGGCAUGAACUGAGAAACAAUUUUCACUUUGUCCUAACUGCGUACCAAAAACUCGUAACUCAGAUAUUCAUCUCUAUGAUCAUAUCGUAGACAGUUUAUCCUCUUGUCACGACGAUCUUCACUCUUAAAUUGCUUUGAACUUUUCAAUAUUUUAGACCUGUGAUUCAUCAAGUAAAUACUCCUGUAUCUACUCAAAUCGUCAGUGAAGUAAGAACAUAACGAUAUCCACUGCGUGCCUUAGCACUCAUUGGACUGCACACAUCAAAAAUGCAUUACUCCCAACAAGUUACUCUCUUGUUUCAUGUGGCAUGUUUUGCAUGUCUCAAGUGAUUCAAAAUCAAGUGAGUCCAAACGAUCUAUCUCUAUGGAGUUUCUUCAUGUAUUUAUACCAACAGGUAUGGUUUGCAUGUCUCAAAUGUUUCAAAAAUGAGUGAGUACAAAGAUCCAUCAGGAUGGAGCUUCUUCAUGCAUUUUAUACCAACAUGACUCAACUGGUAGUGCCACAACUAAGUGGUACUAUCAUUAUUACUUUGUAUCUUUUGGCACCAAUAUUAUGAACAUGUGUAACACUACGAUCGAUAUUCAAUAAACCAUUGAGGGUAAUUAUUCAAGCAAAUAGAAUAACUAUUAUUCUCUUUAAAUGAAUAAUCGUAUUGCAAUAAACACGAUCCAAUCAUGUUCAUGCUCAACGCAAACACCAAAUAACAAUUAUUUAGGUUUUACCACCAAUCCCGAUGAUAGAGGGAGCGUGCGAUGUUUGAUCACAUCAACCUUGGAAACACUUCCAACACGUAUCGUCACCUCACCUUUAGCUAGUAUCCGUUUAUACCGUAUCUUUCAUUUCGAGUUACUAAUCACUUAGCAACCGAACCGGUAUCCAAUACCCUCGUGCUACUAGGAGUACUAGUAAAGUACACAUUAAUAUCAUGUAUAUCAAAUAUACUUCUGUCGACUUUGCCAGCCUUCUUAUCUACCAAGUAUCUAGGGUAGCUCCGCCUCAGUGACCGUUCCCCUCAUAACAGAAGCACUUAGUCUCGGGUUUGGGUUCAAUUUUGGGUUUCUUCAUUAGAGCAGCAACUGGUUUGCCGUUUCAUGAAGUAUCCCUUCUAGCCCUUGCCCUUCUUGAAACUAGUGGUUUUACUAACCAUCAACAAUUGAUGCUCCUUCUUGGUUUCUACUUUUGCAGUGUCAAACAUUGCGAAUCACUCAAGGAUCAUCAUAUCUAUCCUUGAUUUGUUUAUAGUUCAUCACUAAGCUCUAGCAGCUUAGUGGCAGUGACUUUGGAGAACCAUCACUAUCUCAUCUGGAAGAUUAACUCCCACUUGAUUCAAGCGAUUGUUGUACUCACACAAUCUCAGAACAUGCUCAACGAUUUGAGCUUUUCUCCUUUACUUUGUAGGCAAAGAAUCUUGUCGGAGGUCUUAUACCUCUCAACAAGGGCACGAGCCUGAAACCUCAAUUUCAUCUCUUAGAACAUCUCUUAUGUUCCGCAACGUUUUCAAAACAUCUUCGGUGCCUUGCUUCUAAACCAUUUAGUAUUGCGCACUGAACUAUCAGGUAGUCAUAAAAAACGUGUAUGUCAGAUGUUCGCAACAUCCACAGACGACGCUCGAGGUGCAGCACACCGAGUGGUGCAUUAAGGACAUAAGCCUUCUGCGUAGCAAUGAGGACAAUCCUUAGUUUUACGGACUGAGUCCGCAAAGUUGCUACUAUCAACUUUCAACUAAAUUUUCUCUAGGAACAUAUAAAAACAGUAGAGCUAUAGCGCAAGCUACAUCGUAAUUCGCAAAGAUCAUUAGACUAUGUUCAUGAUAAUUAGUUCAAUUAAUCAUAUUACUUAAGAACUCCCACUCAAAAAGUACAUCUCUCUAGUCAUUUGAGUGGUACAUGAUCCAAAUCCACUAUCUCAAGUCCGAUCAUCACGUGAGUCGAGAAUAGUUUCAGUGGUAAGCAUCUCUAUGCUAAUCAUAUCAACUAUAUGAUUCAUGCUCGACCUUUGGAUCUCAUGUGUUCCGAGGCCAUGUCUGCACAUGCUAGGCUCGUCAAGCUUAACCCGAGUGUUCCCCGUGUGCAACUGUUUUGCACCCGUUGUAUGUGAACGUUGAGUCUAUCACACCCGAUCAUCACAUGGUGUCUCAAAACGAUGAACUGUCGCAACGGUGCACAGUCGGGGAGAACACAAUUUCGUCUUGAAAUUUUAGUGAGAGAUCACCUCAUGAUGCUACCGUCGGUCUAAGCAAAAUAAGGUGCAUAAAAGGAUUAACAUCACAUGCAAUUCACAAGUGACAUGAUAUGGCCAUCAUCAUGUGCUUCUUGAUCUCCAUCACCAAAGCACCGGCACGAUCUUCUUGUCACCGGCGCCACACCAUGAUCUCCAUCAUCAUGAUCUCCAUCAACGUGUCGCCAUCGGGGUUGUCGUGCUACUUAUGCUAUUACUACUAAAGCUACUUCCUAGCAAUAUAGUAAACGCAUCUAUGCAUCCACACAUGUAUUUGAGUUUCCAAUCAAUACAAUUCUAGCAUGGAUAAUAAACGAUUAUUAUGAACAAGGAAAUAUAAUAAUAACUAUUUAUUAUUGCCUCUAGGGCAUAUUUCUAACACAAAACACCAGGCUAGAAAGGCCGAGUCUUCCACCUUUUACCAAGUAUAUAGGUGCAUUAAAUUAAAUAGCAAUUAUAUGGUGAUAUAACAAGGAACCCAUGUUAACACAUGGAAGCAAAUGCACCUGCAACUAGCAACGCUAACACAUGGUUAAGCAAGCGGUAACAUAGCCAAUCAGUGGUUUGCUAGGUUGUGAACAGGUUAAGGGAUUUCAUGGCAAUGUUGAGAGGCUGAUAUUUAACAGGUGAUAGGCAGCGAGACAUAGCGAUAGAAAUGAUAAAACCAGCAUGACAAUGAUAGUAAUGGUAUAUGGGGAAAUGGUCAUCUUGCCUGAGAUCCCGCUUGGAAGAAGAAUGACUCCGUGAAGCAGACAAACCGAUGUACUCGAACGGGUCCUCACUUUCCGACACGCUUGCGGAGCUCUAUCGAGAGGAAGCAAAUCGGAAACAAGAAUCAACACACGAUAUUCACCACGACACAUGCACAACAUAAUGCUCAACAUGUAUGAUGCAUGAUCGACCUAAUGCAAGGCAUGACAUGACAAUUCACUCCAAUCAAACACUACAUAUUAUGUGAAGUUCAAUAUGCAAGGAGUUGCAUAUUGACGAAACUCCACAUACGAAUUAUUUAGUUCCAUCCCGAUUAGGUACGCGGCAAUAUUAAAUGUUGGUUAAACAUGGCAAUACAUGAAGCGUAAUUAAGCUACCUAUCUAGGCAUUUUAAGUGAGGUCACAAACGACAUAUAGCAUCUCCGAGAUGACCCCACACGUUAAAUUAGAAUUAUGUCCAGAUCUGAACAAACAUGUUUUAAUAUUUGUUAAACAUCAAAAUAAAGUGGUUCACGUGAUUCUACGCGUCGUUCCAAUCUACUUACACAUAGAGAACAUCUCCAACGGAGCUACGGUUCAAAAGAUAUGCUCAUCGCAAGAUAUGAUGUCAUGAAUGCAAUAUGUAUGCGAAUGCCAGCCACAAGCAUUCAAAACCAAGAAGGCAGCGACAUAAUACGAAACCACACGAGAUUCUAAGCAAGUUUCAUAUAGGACACGAUCAAAACGGAGCAACGGUUCAACAAAUACAAGCUAGACAAGAAAGUCAUAAUCUGCCAAAAACAACAACAUGACAUUUUCUACACCCCAAAACAACAAGCUACAUAAAUCGAAAUGCUCAGACAAGACAUGAGACAGUAGAGGACAAGAUGCAAUUCAACACCCUACUAAUAACAUCUACCAUGGCAGCAUGGAUCACUAGUAAAUGAACUCACAAAAUGGCAUCUCACACACAAUUUCAGACUUAGUGAAAAUAUCAGUUUUUGACACUGCAGUUUUUGAUCUGAAGGCAUAUUGACAGCAGCAAAACUAUAUGCUACAAGGCACCAAAUGACAUGAAAAUUGACAGCAUGCUAUAGAAUCUUAAGGACUACAACUAACUACAUUGAACCAACCUCAAAAGAGCUAUAGAUCACUAGAAAAACUCAUGGAAGACUCUAUCCACCCAAUACUCAGGCAAGGGUAAUUUCAUGCUAAUUGCUCAGAUUGAGGGGAAGAUCAGUCGGCUGCGCCAAGGCGAUGACAUGUCAGUGAUGGCAUAUAUAGUAGAGCUACAGGCUUUGUGGGCAGAGCAGGAUAACUGUGAUCCUCUGGAACUCUAUGAUGCGGCGUGCAUCGAGUCAGGGCGCAAGUGGAUUGCACGCAGGCGCAUGCUGAAACUGUUGGAAGGCCUCAGAGGUUGCUUUCAUGGCAGGGGGCUUCCCUGUUGCACCAACCUCUCUUGCCAACUAUUGAGGAGACUAUUGCAGCAAUGUCUCAAGAGGAGGUGAGGCUAUCUCUUGAGCAUGCAAACGUGAAGUUUGUGUCGGCUUUGACAUUUGCAGUCACUGAGCGCAUGGAGUGGGGAGAUCCCAACAAAUGUCAUAUUUGUGGGGAGGUAGGUCAUUGGAAGAGGGAAUGUCCAACUCGUGGUAGAGGCAGGGGAUACAACAGAGGGGGCACUGGCAGAGGCAGGUAUGCUCGAGGCAGAGGUGGAUACCCAUGGAACUCAGGGGGUCAACUUUCUAGGGGCAGAGGUGGCUAUUCAGGAAACUCAGGGGGCAGGGCACAUAUGGUAGUUGAAGAGGACACUGGGACGUCACAGGGCAAGGGAGUUGAUUAGGCUGCCUAUGGAGACUUUGCUCACUGGGCCUCCACUGAUGAAGGUAAUUCGAUGAAGGCAUUUCUUCCUCCUAAUGAGAGUGCUUCAAAGUGGGUCUUAGACUCUGGAGCAUCUAAGCAUGUUGCGGGUAAUUCCUGUGUGUUUUAGUCUUAACAUAAGCAUGCUCCUACUCACAAGGGCACUAUACAAACUGUCGAUGGUACCAAUCAGCCUGUCGUAGGGGUUGGCACAGUCAAAUGCGCUUCAGCCAUCUCCUUAUCGUCAGUUUUGCAUGUGUCAGCUUUUCCUGUCAAUUUGGUCUCUUUCAGUGCUCUCAUUGAUCAAAUAGACUGUCAUGUGAUCCUUGACAAGUUUGGUUGCUUGAUUCAGGAGCGAUAGACGAGCCAGACGGUUGGGACUGGCACUAGGCGUAGGGGGCUCUGGUACAUGGACCAAGAGGUGCAACCGGACUUGGUGUGUGCUGCGGCCAUGGAGGACAAGGAGAAGCAGGCGAUGAUCCAUCAUUGUAGAAUGGGUCAUGUAUCUUUUGAUAAGAUGAGUAGAAUCUUUCCGGAUGUUAUGUGUGGAAUAGGCAAGGGCAAGUUGACAUGUGAUGCUUGCGAAUAUGCAAAACACACACGAGCCUCAUAUGUGAGUAAGGGGCUUAGGAGCAUAUCUCCUUUUAUGCUCAUUCAUUCGGAUGUAUGGACUAGCCCAGUAGUGUCAAUGAAUGGAAAGAAGUAUUUUGUUACCUUUAUUGACUGCUAUUCUCGUAUGACCUGUAUUUACUUGAUGCGUCACAAGGAUGAGGUGUUUAGCUGUUUUCAGAACUUCCAUGCUCUUGUAAAGAACCAGUUUCAGGUGCAGGUCAACGUGCUCAGGACUGACAAUGGUACAGAGUAUGUGAACAAUAUUUUUGGGGAUUUCAUGGCUAACUAAGGGAUUCUUCAUCAAACUUCAUGUCCGGACACCCCACCUCAGAAUGGAGUGGCAGAAAGGAAGAAUCAUCAUAUUCUUGAGGUUGCUCGGUCAUUAAUGUUUACCAUGAAUGUGCCUAAGUUCUUAUGGGAUGAAGUAGUUAUGACAGCCACGUACCUGAUCAACCGGACACCUUCCAGGAUAUUAGGUAUGAAAUCUCCGUCUGAGUUGCUCAUUGGAGAUAAUAAGUUUGUUGUUUCCCCAAAGUUGUUUGGCAGUACUUGCUUUGUUCGUGAUCACCGACCAUCUGUUGGAAAGCUUGAUCCUCGGGCAGUGAAGUUUGUCUUCCUAUGAUACUCUUCUAGUCAGCAGGGGUAUAAAUGUUGGUAUCCCUCUGAAAAACGCAGGUUCGUGAGUAUGGAUGUUACCUUCAGGGAGUCCGAGCCAUUCUAUGGUACGCCGACUGAUCUCGUUCUGCUAUUUGCAGAGCUUGACCACCUACAUCAUGUGCACGAUGGUCAAGAGGGGGAGAAGGAUAUGUCUCAUACUCAGGGUGUUGGCAAUAACACUGCUAAUGAUGUGCAAGUUCAGGUCCAACCAAUAGUGGGAACAAUUCCGGUUAGUACUCUCACUGAUGAUGAUGUGCAUGUUCCUGUCGAGCCAACCGUCGAGACACUUAAUAUUGGUGCUCUUCGGGUUCCUGUUCGGGAUCGAUGGCAGACGAACACCCUAGUGUACUCUCGACGGCAACCACAUGUGCAAGGGGAGCAGCAAGGUAGUGAGGCAAGAGUGCAGGGGGAGCAGCAAGGUAGUGAGGCAAGAGUGCAGGGGGAGCAGCAAGAUAGUGAGACGAGCUCAUCUGACACAGUGGAGCUGCCCAUUGCAUUGCGAAAGGCUACACGUGAAGCGGCAAGAAAGGGUGAAGUAGCAAGGAAGGCUCUACCGAAGGAUGAUGCUUGUGAUGAUCUUGAUAUUGGCAAUUUUGUGUCUUAUAAGGCUUUGUCACCCACAUAUAAGGCGUUUGUUGCCUCCCUUCAAACUGUGUCAAUUCCAAAGGAUUUGAAGGCUGCAAAGCAAGAUCCGAGGUGGCGUGAAGCAAUGAUAGAAGAGUUGGAAGCACUAAGGAAAAACAAGAGAUGGGUGCUAACCACAUUGCCGGCAGAAAAGAAAGGAGUGAGUUGUAAGUGGAUCUAUAGAGUGAAGCAGAAUCCUGAAGGGAAGGUGGAACGGUAUAAGGCCAGAUUGGUCGCCACAGGAUAUAGUCAAACUUAUCGAAUUGACUAUGAUGAGACGUUUGCUCCCGUGGCAAAGAUGAACACAGUAAGGAUAUUGGUCUCCUGUGCUGCAAACUUUGGGUGGAAGUUGCAUCAAUUAGAUGUCAAGAAUGCCUUCUUGCAUGGUGAGUUGCAAGAAGAAGUGUACAUGGAAAUACCACCAGGUUUUGGUACUUCAGAGACUACGGGGAAGGUAUGCAGGCUGAAGAAAUCCUUGUAUGGACUGAAGCAAACACCAAGGGCCUGGUUUGAUAGGUUCAGACGUGCUGUCCGUGGUAUGGGGUAUGGUCAGUGUAACGGUGACCACACGAUGUUCUACAAGCACUCUGAUCGGAAGAUCACCAUUCUUGCUGUUUAUGUGGAUGACAUUAUCAUCACUGGAGAUGAUGAGGAGGAAAUAGAGAGAUUGAAGGGUUAUUUGAGCAAGGAGUUUGAGGUAAAGGCUUUGGGUAACUUAAAAUACUUUCUUGGCAUUGAAGUGGCUCGGACAGAGAAGGGAAUCUCUUUGUGCCAAUGAAAAUACACCUUGGGUCUCUUGAGUGACGUGGGCAUGAUGGGAUGUCGUACUGCCCCUACUCCGAUUGAACAAAAUCACCAAGUGACAACACAAUCAGGAGAGCUAGUGAAUAAGGAAGAGUAUCAAAAACUGGUUGGAAUGUUGUUGUACUUGUGUCAUACCAGGCCUGACAUUACGUAUGCUACGGGGGUGGUGAGCAGGUACAUGCAUGAACCAAGGAGUGGGCAUCUUGAUAUUGUGCACAGAAUCCUGAGAUACUUGAAGGGGACUCCGGGUAAAGGGUUGUGGUUUGGGAAGAGUGGACAUCUUGAGGUGGAUGGCUAUAGUGACUCUGACUGGUCCAGUUGUCAAGAUGAUAGAAGAUCAACUUCUGGUUACUGCGUGUUUGUGGGAGAAAAUUUGGUAUCAUGGAGAAGCAAGAAACGGCCGGUUGUGUCUAGAUCAACAGCAGAAGCUGAGUAUAGAGCAUUAUCUCAAUGGUUGUGUGAGAUACUCUGGGUGAAGUACCUACUGAGCGAGUUGAAACUUCUGAGGAAGGGGCCCUUGAAGGUGUGGUGUGACAAUUAGUCAGCUAUAGCCAUCGCUAGUAACCCAGUUCAACAUGAUAGGACAAAGCAUGUGGAAAUUGAUCGGUUCUUCAUUAAGGAGAAGCUUGAUGCCGGGUCAUCAGCCUUACUCAUGUCAGUUCUGGGCAGCAGUUUGCAGAUUGUUUGACAAAGGGUUUGGGAACAAAGGAUUGUAACUUGGCAUGUGACAAGAUGGGAAUGAUAGAUAUCUACCACCCAUCUUGAGGGGGAGUGUUGAACCGGUAUGGCCCAGCCCAUACAAGUUAUCUCUUAGGGCCGAGGCCCAUGUAGUGGGACUAACCUAAAAGGAGGCUCCCAGCCAUCUCCCGUUCCUGAGACAGCCGCCAAACACAAAACACUCGUGCUGGAGGUACUCCUCUCUCCCUCCCGUACUCCUCUCUCCCUCCCGUUCCUACAGUAAAUGGUCCUCUUGACCUAUUAUAUUUUGGAUAAGGUUGGGCCAGAUUUCAUUCAAAUGAACAUUGUAAAGUUUGCACUGUCAUGUAGGAGUACUAGAUAUGUUGAAAUUUCAGACCAAACAAGUUUCCUACUUCUCCCCUUCAUGAGCACUUCAUUUUUUUCUUAAUAUAAUUUAGUUUUGCCAUUCGUAUUUUUGUGAUUGGUAGAUAAAAGCCCGCACAGCUGCACUUAGCAUUUAUAGUACUAUAUAUAUAUUCAGCUAAUCGUACAAGAACCAUCUUUGUAACAGAUCCAGGUUUAUAUGUGUCUCCCUAUACUUAAACGCUUAUGUUGUAAGGUUUGGUGGUCAACUGGAGUUCUAAAUUCCUAGAUAUAGCUCUAAAUAAGGUUUCCUCUGUUAUGCAGUAUAUCCAUAUUAUAAUUGGAGCAUAGGAGUUGUACUACCUUGCACAUAAUGAACAGAACAAUUGUUCACCUUGAUAGAAGUUAUUUUUGAGCUCCUUGGGAAAUAUGAGUCGCUCUUGUGCUUGCAUAAGUGAUCUUUUGAUGAAUAAUAUACUGUUCUCCUGUUACUAUAUACAUUAUGUCAAUAUUUUUCUAUUUGCUAAACUCAUUAAUGGUCUCCAAAACUGGGCCAUAGUAGAUGUCAUUGCCUUGCUUCCCUUUCAACAAAUGUAUAUCCUUUUUAUACUUGCUAUGUUUGUGUCAUUCCUUCUAUGUUUUCAGUGAAUUUGUAGCCGACAAGAAGUUGAUUGAAACAUUGCAGUUUCUUGGUAAGCAGAAAAGACAUGUUCAUGUUGAAUUACCAAAGCCCAGGCUUCAAGUGAGAUCAUUCACUUGAGUCUCAAUGGUUUAUUCCAAAUUUUUGAGUUCACUCAUUUCAUUUUUAACGAAAAAUUCAAGUUCCACUUAUGCAUUAAUUGGCCGCUCAUUUCCAUGAAGCAACUUGGAUUUUAUUCACCUGCAUGUUUUGUUAAAUAUAUGAUUUAUGCUAGAGAUUGGUCUCCGUUUUUAGUACUAACCACAUUCGGUUCAUAUAAAGAGAGAGAGAGAGAUAGAGAGAGCAUUCGUCUCAGAUUGAGAUAAUCAUUUUUUUUGAAAGGAUUGAGAUGAUCAUAUUGACUAGGUCCAUGUUAUAUUUCUUCUCUGUCAAGAUGAUAUGGUCCUGAUUAUUGGACACGUGGUGUCCAUAUUUGGCUAUAGCAGCCUAUGCACCAAAGUAUGUUUUUUGCAUGUAUGAUAUGGCUGGGACAAGUAGAAAGGUUGUUCGAGAAAAUGAUGUUAGAAUGUCAUAUAAGAAACAGAUAAUUUCAAACGCUCUCGGGCUCUCGGGUAACAUGAGAUUGUUCCAUAGUAUUGCACAUGUGUGUUUUAUUGAUAUUUCAAGUGUACAGUUUGCUGAUUUGGAAUGAAUAUAUUGCUCCUUAAGUUGAUUUCUAUUGAAUUACAAUGUUGUAUGUAUUGCCAUUCUUUCGAUUACACACCUAGCAAACAGGAAGAGGCAUGUUUGGGUGGAUCGGCUUGAAUAGGUUGGUUGGUGAUGAUAUGUCUAUUACAUCAGAGAGACAAACCCGGUCGAGGAUCAACAUCAUAGGUAUAAGAAGAGAGCAAUGGCUUCUUCUACAUCCAAUACCCACUAACACUACAUGUUGUAGAUUAUCUAUGUAGGUACCAAAUAGAUGUGCCCUUUCUUGUAUGAACUACUCUGUCACGAAUCGAAUCUUGGAAUGACUUACCAAAUAUUUUAAAAAAACUAAAUUUCUUACCAGUCCACGUGGCGCGGCGUGCCGCCGCGCACUACCUCCUAGUUCACUAUUAGGACAUCAUGCAAAUCUAGGCAUAUGGGGGGUCAAACCACUUCAAACAUGCAUUCAAGUUGUAAAAUCAUAAUCUAUGCGAAAUUCUACAUGAGUUACAUAUAUAAUUCGCCUUGAUUCGAUGCACGGUUUAUUAUCUACGAGCGUUUGAAAAUCUAGCAUUUCCUGGAAAAGAUUAAAUCACAGACUAAUAGUAAAAGAACGCCACGGGUCGAAUCUAGCAUAUGGGCCGAAAUAGAGUUGGCGCUGGAUAGCAACCAAGUGCAUAGGGCGCAGAAUAAUGGGAUCGGGGGAAUCUCACCUCGUGGCCUCUUGGGCCGGCCUGAUGAUGGGCUCGGGGAGGCGUGGAGGCUGGGCCGGGGGCUCUGACGGUCCGCGGGGCGGAGCUGGUCGCUGGACCGAGGGAGGCCUGGCCUGGCAUGGCCCAGCCGACGGAGAGGUAGCACGUGCUGAUCGAGCAACUGGUCCUCUCGAUCUAGAUCGGGAUCGAGGGGGAGCGGCGGCGGCGCAUCUCCGAAAGCGGACAUCUCCGGUGGCGGCUCGCUCUGGCUGCCCAGGGCGGUGGGACGGAGGAGCUACGGCCUUGCGCAUAGGGAGGAGGCCGGCAGCUCGGGGUUGGCUGCUUCCUUCGAGCGAACAUGCGACACCGACCGUCGGUGUUCUAGCGAGGGAGCAGCGAGGUUUGGCCAGGGCGUGGGGCUCGGGGCCAGAGAGGCGGCAGGGCAAGGUGGCUAGCGGCGACGAGGCAUGAGGCGGCGCGGCGGCGACCAGGCGAGGCGCAGGCCGCUGCUAGGCUGCAGCAGGCUCGCGGGAGGCAGUGGCCUCGGGCCCAGAUGGCCUCGGCGGGCCUGACCCAGGCUCGGGCGGGCCCGGUGGCUGGAGGAAGGAGACAGGGAGGUGGAGGUUGGGUGGCGGCUAGUGUUAGGUGGGCGGCGUGGAUUUCGAGGAAGAGAGAGAGAGAGGCAAAAAUGGAAGGUGAGACCCUUCCUUUUGUAGUCGGGGUAGCUAGGGUUUGCCAAAUGGGGUGUUUUCGGACCCUCCGAUGUCGGUCGGACGCUCCGGAAAUGCCCUAAGGUUCGGUUAGGCCGUGUAGAGUGGCUUAGGCGGAGAUGCGAGGGAAAUAGCGCGGCGUGGCAACGCGAUUUAAAACACCAAAACACGUCCGACAAAUAAUCGAAGACGGUGCUGCUACGGUCGACCGUUCGGGUAGGAGACGAACUCCGAUUGCGAUGAAAAUUAGCACGCGGCCUACCUAUAUUAAAAUAAGACCGCACACCAAGUUUCAUCCUAAUCCAAGAAAGUUUUAUACACACUUUUAAAAACAAGAUUUUGACGAUGCCGCGGGCGCGUGCGAGUGUGGUCGGGCUCAACACGGGCAACGACGAGAACGGAGAGAACCGGCCACUAAUAACGGAUGCAAGUUCUGAAAACUCGCAGCAACGAGGUGCCGAUGCAAUGCGGAUGAUGCAAAUGAUGCGAUGAUGAAUGCGGCAAACAAAAAUAAUAACACGAUGACAACGGAAAAGAGGGGAAUCUUUUGGGGCGUCGGUCUCGGGCUGUCACAAGUUGCCCCCGCUUUAUCGUCAAAUCUCGAUCCCUGAUCACGAGCCAAGACCCGACACAACACUCACACCCCCCUUAGUUGUACGACGCUGUAGAGCUACUAUCGGGUAUCGAGGGUGACACCUCGCAAAGUACUCAUGAUGCUAUCUCUGUAAUGCAGCUAGUCGGUCAUGGUUAUCGAGGGUGAUUCCUCCUCCACCACUCCCUGACGAUGACUCUGUCGUGCAACCCCUCAAGGGUGAGACCCUCGAGGGUGAUUCCUCUAAGUCCACCUUGAUGGUUACAUCGUUCGGAAUCCAACGAGGGUGAUACCUCGGAUCCCCCUGAUGUUACAACCACAUAGUUACUUGACCGUGUUACUGGGAACAUUGAUGAAUAAUUGUUAGGCAGGUGGAUUCCCGCGUGGAUGUGUCGAUGAGUUAAUUAAAAUGUUAAUGGAUUUGGGUAUUUGAUCUGGGUUGGCCGGAGACCUUUUCGCACUAACCGGCUACGCAGGAGAAGUUAUGGGUACUCGACGUCGUGGUAUCAGUGAAUCUCUUCAGACAUCAGCAAUGGAGUGGCGCGCGCCCGAGUGGUCCGUAUAGGCAUCGCGCAUGUAAUAAGGGAUGGUAUGACUAACCUCGGCCGCCCAUGCAUCGUGCAAGAGUGAAAAGGGUGAUGGGCCCAUGACAUCUGCGUGCUUAGGAUUUAGACCGGCGGGCUAGCCUCUCUGUUGAGUCUAGGUGGGGCUGCAACGUGUCGAUGUUCCGAGGCCGGGCAUGACCCAGGGAAGUGUGUCCGGUCAGAGUUUAUCGAGUGUGAUGGGAAACUUGGUGCACCCCUGCAAGGAUGAAAAUUAACUAUUCGAAUAGCCGUGUCCACAGUUAUAGGACGACUUGAGUUGUGCCCUGAUCUUAUACAACUAUAACUGUUACUUAACUGGAAUGUUGCUCCGGGAUUGCUUCCUUGGAGGGAGUCAAGGAAGAAUCUCUCGGCGUGACUUUAAUUAAUUUUGUUGCAACAAUAUGACUAUUUAUUGUGUUACCUGUUCUACUCUCGUCUAUUGCUGCAAGACCCCUGAAGAUGCUAGUCUUCGAUAGGACUAGGCCUUCUCUCUCUAUUCUUGCAUUGUUGCAGUCAGUCCACAUAUAACCCCUUCCUUUGAUACUGAUGCAUACUUAGCAUAAUUCUGAUGUCAGGCUUCCGAGUACUUUGGAUGAGUACUCACCGUUGCUUAGCUCCCCACUUCCCCCUUUGACCCGUUGCUCCGACCAGAUGAUGGAACCCAGGAGAUGGUGUAUCCCGCCGACGACGAUUGCUACCCCGACGGUGCCUUCUUCUACGUGGAGGUCGCUGACGACCAGGAGUAGUUAGGACGUUCCCGGGCGGGAGGCCUCGCCUCGUUCGAUCGUUGUAUCUUUGUGCUAGCCAUCUCUAAGGCACCUCAUGUUUCAUGUCUGUACUCAGAUAUUUGUGUUGGGUAACGUAGCAUAAAUUCAAAAAAAUUCCUACGCAUAUUCAGAUCUUCCUAUGGAGAGCCCAGCAACGAGAGAGGGGUGAGUGCAUCUUCAUACCUUUGAAGAUCGCUAAGCGGAAGCGUUGCUAGAACGCGGUUGAUGGAGUCGUACUCGCGGCGAUUCAGAUCGCGGUGUGAUUCCGAUCUAGUGCCGAACCACGACACCUCCGCGUUCAACACACGUGUAGUUCGGUGAUGUCUCCCGCACCUUGAUCCAGCAAGGAGGAGGGAGAGGUUGGGGAAGAUCUCCGGCAGCACGACGGCGUGGUGUCGAUGGAGAGACGAGAUCUCCCGACAGGGCUUCACCAAGCACCGGCAGAGAGGAGAAAGACGAGCAGGGCUCCGCCGAGGGAGAGGGAAAACUAUGUCUCCAAAAGCCCAAAAGUGCCCACUAUAUAUAGGAGGAGGGGAGGAGGGGGGGUGCCACCCCUAGGGUUCCCACCCUAGGUGGUGCGGCAACCCCCCCAUAUGGGAGGUGCGGCGGCCAGGGCAGGGGGGAGGGGUGGCGCACCCCUAGGUGGGCCUUAGGCCCACCAACGCCUAGGGUUUCCCCCCUCUCCACCUCCUGCGCCUUGGGCUGAGUGUGGGGGGCGCACCAGCCCACCUAGGGGCUGGUUCCCUCCUGCACUUAGCCCAUCUAGCCUCCCGGGGUCGUUGUCCCCUUCCGGUGGACCCCCGGGGCCACCUCCGGUGGUCCCGAUACGUUACCGGUGACGCCCGAAACACUUCCGGUGUCCGAAACCAUUCGUCCUAUAUAUCAGUCUUUACCUCCGGACCAUUCCGGAGCUCCUCGUGACGUCCGGGAUCUCAUCCGGGACUCCGAACAACUUUCUAUAACAUCGUAUAACAAUUCCCUAUGACCCUAGCGUCAUCGAACCUUAAGUGUGUAGACCCUACGGGUUCGGGAGAAAGGUAGACAUGACCGAGACACCUCUCCGGCCAAUAACCAUCAACGGGGUCUGGAUACCCAUGGUGGCUCCCACUUGCUCCAUGGUGAUCUCAUCGGAUGAACCACGAUGUCAAGGAUUCAAUCAAUCCCGUAUACAAUUCCCUUUGUCUGUCGGUAUAGAACUUGCCCGAGAUUCGAUCGUCGGUAUACCUAUACUUUGUUCAAUCUCGUUACCGGUAAGUCUCUUUACUCGUUUCGUAGUACGUCAUCGUGUGACUAACUCCUUAGUCACAUUGAGCUCAUGAUGAUGUUCUACCGAGUGGGCCCAGAGAUACCUCUCCCUCACACGGAGUGACAAAUCCCGAUCUCGAUUCGUACCAACCCAACAGACACUUUCAGAGGUACCCGUAGUGCACCUUUAUAGUCACCCAGUUACGUUGUGACGUUUGAUACACCUAAAGCACUCCUACGGUAUCCGGGAGUUGCACAAUCUCACGGUCGAAGGAAAAGACACUUGACAUUAGAGAAGCUUUAGCAUACGAACAAUACGAUCUAGUGCUACGCUUAGGAUUGGGUCUUGUCCAUCACAUCAUUGUCCCAAUGAUGUGAUCCCGUUAUUAAUGACAUCUAAUGCCCAUGACCAGGAAACCAUGAUCAUCUAUUGACUAACGAGCUAGCCAACUAGAGGCUAUCUAGGGACACAUUGUGAUCUAUUUAUUCACACAUGUAUUACUGUUUCCUGUUAAUACAAUUAUAGCAUGAACAAUAGACGAUUAUCAUGAACAAGGAAAUAUGAUAAUAACCAUUUUAUUAUUGCCUCUAGGGCAUAUUUCCAACAGUCUCCCACUUGCACUAGAGUCAAUAAUCUAGUUACAUUGUGAUGUAUCGAACACCCAUAGCAUUAUGGUGUUGAUCAUGUUUUGCUCGUGGAAGAGGUUUAGUCAAUGGGUCUGCAACAUUAAGAUCCGUGUGUACUUUACAAAUCUGUAUUACUCCACUCUGGACAUGGUCCUGGAUGGAGUUGUAGCGGCGUUUGAUGUGCUUCGUCUUCCGGUGGAACCUGGGCUCCUUGGCUAUGGCAAUGGCCCCAGUGUUAUCACAGAAGAGUGUCAUUGGACCCGACGCGCUUGGAACCACUCCAAGGUCGGUGAUGAGCUCUUUCAUCCAAAUUCCUUCAUGAGCCGCUUCUGAAGCAGCUAUGUACUCCGCUUCACAUGUAGAUGCUGCCACGACUUCUUGCUUGCUGCUGCACCAGCUCACUGCCCCACCAUUCAAAACAUAUACGUAUCCGGUCUGUGACUUAGAGUCAUCCGGAUCUGUGUCGAAGCUAGCGUCGACAUAACCCUUUACGACGAGCUCUUCGUCACCUCCAUAAACGAGAAACAUUUCCUUAGUCGUCUUCAGGUACUUAAGGAUAUUCUUGACCGCUGUCCAGUGUUCCAUACCGGGAUCACUUUGGUACCUCCCUACCAAACUUAUGUCAAGGUUUAUAUCAGGUCUGGUACAAAUCAUGGCAUACAUAAGAGAGCCUACGGCUGAAGCGUAGGGGACAAUACUCAUCUUCUCUCUAUCUGCUGCCGUGGUCGGCGACUGAGUCUUACUCAAUCUCAUACCUUGCAAAACUGGUAAGAACCCUUUCUUUGAGUUUUCCAUAUUGAACUUCUUCAAUAUCUUGUCAAGGUAUAUACUUUGUGAAAGACCUAUGAGGCGUCUCGAUCUAUCUCUAUAGAUCUUGAUGCCUAAUAUGUAUGCAGCUUCUCCAAGGUCCUUCAUUGAAAAACUCUUGUUCAAAUAGGCCUUUAUGCUCUCCAACAUCUCUAUAUCAUUCCCCAUCAGUAAUAUGUCAUCCACGUACAGUAUGAGGAAAGCUACAGAGCUCCCACUCACUUUCUUGUACAGACAGGCUUCUCCAUAAACCUGUAUGAACCCAAACGCUUUAAUUACCUCAUUAAAGCGAAUGUUCCAACUCCGAGAUGCUUGCACCAGCCCAUAGAUGGAGCGCUGGAGCUUGCACACUUUGUUAGCACCCUUAGGGUCGACAAAACCUUCUGGUUGCAUCAUAUACAACUCUUCCUUAAGAUUCCCGUUAAGGAAAGUUAUUUUGACGUCCAUUUGCCAAAUUUCAUAAUCAUAAAAGGCGACAAUUGCUAACAUGAUUCGGACUGAUUUCAGCUUCGCUACGGGAGAGAAAGUCUCCUCGUAGUCAAUUCCUUGAAUUUUUCAAAAACCUUUUGCGACAAGUCGAGCUUUAUAAACGGUUACAUUACCAUUUGCAUCAGUCUUCUUCUUGAAGAUCCAUUUAUUUUCUAUGGCUCGCCGGUCAUCGGGCAAGUCCACCAAAGUCCAUACUUUGUUCUCAUACAUGGAUCCUAUCUCGGAUUUCAUAGCUUCAAGCCAUUUGUUGGAAUCCGGGCCCGCCAUCGCUUCUUUAUAGUUCGAAGGUUCACCGUUGUCUAAGAACAAGAUUUCCAUUAUAGGGUUGCCGUACCACUCUGGUGCGGAGCGUACCCUUGUGGACCUUCGCGGCUCAGCAGUAACUUGAUCUGAAGCUUCAUGAUCAUUAUCAUUAACUUCCUCUUCAGUUGGUGUAGGCGCAACAGGAACAACUUCCCGCGCUGUGCUACUAUCCUAUUUGAGAGGGGGUGUAAUUACCUCAUCAAGUUCUACCUUCCUCCCACUUACUUCUUUCGAGAGAAACUCUUUCUCUAGAAAGGAUCCGUUCUUGGCAACAAAGGUUUUACCUUAGGAUCUAAGAUAGAAGGUAUACCCAAUAGUUUCCUUAGGGUAUCCUAUGAAUACGCAUUUCUCCGCUUUGGGUUCGAGCUUUUCUGGUUGAAGUUUCUUCACAUAAGCAUCGCAGCCCCAAACUUUAAGAAACAACAACUUAGGUUUCUUCACAAACCAUAGUUCAUACGGUGUUGUCUCAACGGAUUUAGACGGUGCCCUAUUUAAAGUGAAUGCUGCAGUUUCUAAUGCGUAUCCCCAAAAUGAUAGCGGUAAGUUGGUAAGAGACAUCAUAUAUCGUACCAUAUCUAAUAAAGUGCGAUUACGACGUUCAGACACUUCGUUGCGUUGCGGUGUGCCAGGCGGUGUCAGUUGUGAAACGAUUCCACACUUCCUUAGGUGUGUGCCAAACUCGUGACUCAAAUAUUCUCCUCCACGAUCAGAUCGUAGACACUUAAUUUUUCUGUCACGUUGAUUCUCGACCUCACUCUGAAAUUCCUUGAACUUUUCAAACGUCUCAGAUUUGUGCUUCAUCAAGUAGAUAUACCCAUACCUACUCAAAUCAUCGGUGAGAGUGAGAACAUAACGAUAGCCACCGCGAGCUUCAACGUUCAUUGGACCACACACAUCAGUAUGUAUUAUUUCCAAUAAGUUGGUUUCUCUCUCCAUUAUUCCUGAGAAUGGAGUCUUAGUCAUCUUGCCCAUGAGGCACGGUUCGCAUGUGUCAAAUGAUUCGAAGUCAAGAGACUCUAAUAGUCCAUCAGUAUGGAGCUUAUUCAUGCGCUUAACACCGAUAUGACCAAGGCGGCAGUGCCACAAGUAUGUGGGACUAUCAUUAUCAACUUCACAUCUUUUGGUACUCACACUAUGAAUAUGCGUAACAUCACGAUCGAGAUUCAUCAAGAAUAAACCAUUCACCAGCGGAGCAUGACCAUAAAACAUACCACUCAUAUAAAUAGAACAACCAUUAUUCUCUUACUUAAAUGAGUAGUCGUCUCGCAUUAAGCAAGACCCUGAUACAAUAUUCAUGCUCAAAGCUAGUACUAAAUAACAAUUAUUAAGGUUUAAAACUAAUCUCGACGGUAGAUGUAGAGGUAGCGUGCCUACGGCGAUCACAUCAACCUUGGAGCCAUUCCCGACGCGCAUCGUCACCUCGUCCUUGGCCAGUCUCCGCUUAUUCCGCAGUUCCUGCUUUGAGUUGCAAAUGUGAGCAACAACACCGGUAUCAAAUACUGAGGAGCUACUACGAGCGCUGGUAAGGUACACAUCAAUAACAUGUAUAUCACAUAUACCUUUUACGUUGCCGUCCUUCUUGUCCGCUAAGUAUUUGGGGCACUUCCGCUUCCAGUGACCCUUUCCCUUGCAAUUGAAGCACUCAGUCUCAGGCUUGGGUCCAUUCUUUUUCUUCUUCCCGGUAUCUGGCUUACCGGAUGCGGCAACGGCUUUGCUGUCUUUCUUGAAGUUCUUCUUACCCUUGCCCUUCUUGAAACUAGUGGUCUUGUUGACCAUCAACACUUGAUGCUCUUUCUUGAUUUCUACUUCUGCAGACUUGAGCAUCGAGUACAACUCGGGAAUGGUCUUCUCCAUCCCUUGCAUGUUGUAGUUCAGCACAAAACCUUUGUAGCUUGGUGGGAGAGACUGGAGGAUUCUGUCAAUUAUAGCAUCAUCCGGAAGUUCGACUCCAAGUGAAGUCAGACGACCGUGAACCCAGACAUUUUGAGUAUGUGCUCACUGACAGAACUAUUCUCCUCCAUCUUACAGCUAAAGAACUUGUCGGAGACUUCAUAUCUCUCAACACGGGCAUGAGCUUGAAAAACUAGUUUCAGCGCUUGGAACAUAUCAUAUGCACCGUGUUGCUCAAAACGCCUUUGGAGCCCCGUUUCUAAACUGUAUAACAUGCCACACCUAACCAGAGAGUAGUCAUCACUCCGCGUUUGCCAGACGUUCAGAAUGUCCUGGGCUGCUGCGGGAGCGGGAGGGUCACCUAGCGGCACAUCAAGGACAUAAGCCUUUUUAGCUGCUUCAAGGAUGAGCUUCAAGUUGCGAACCCAGUCCGCAUAGUUGCUACCAUCAUCUUUCAGCUUGUUUUUCUCUAGGAUUGCGUUGAAAUUGAGGUUGACGUUGGCCAUCUACAAUAUUUAUAAAGACAACUUUUAGACUAAGUUCAUGACAAUUAAGUUCAUUUAAUCAAAUUAAGUAUGAACUCCCACUUAAAUUGACAUCCCUCUAGUCAUCUAAGUGAUACAUGAUCCAUGUUGACCAACCCAUGUCCGAUCAUCACGUGAGACGGACUAGUCACCAUGGUGAGCAACUUCAUGUUGAUCGUAUUCAACCAUACGACUCAUGUUCGACCUUUCGGUCUCUUGUAUUCGAGGUCAUGUCUGUACAUGCUAAACUCGUCGAGUCAACCUAGGUGUUUCGCGUGUGUAAAUCUGGCUUACACCCGUUGUAUGCGAACGUUAGAAUCUAUCACACCCGAUCAUCACGUGGUGCUUCGAGACAACGAUACUUCGCAACGAUGCACACUUAGGGGAAUACGUUCUCGAAAUUUUAAGAGGGAUCAUCUUAUUAUGCUACCGUCGUUCUAAGCAAUAAGAUGAAAAACAUGAUAAACAUCACAAUGCAAUCAUAUAGUGACAUGAUAUGGCCAUUAUCAUCUUUGCUCUUUCGAUCUCCAUCUUCAGACAUCGCAUGAUCAUCAUUGUCACCGGCGUGACAUCAUGAUCUCCAUCAUCAUGAUCUCCAUCGUCGUGUCUCCGUGAAGUCGUCGCGCCAACUACUACUAUCACUACUACUAUAGCUAACCGUUAGCAAUGAAGUAAAAGUAGUAAGCACAUGGCGUUGCAUCUCAUACAAUAAAUUAAGACAACUCCUAUGGCUCCUGCCGGUUGUCAUACUCAUCGACAUGCAAGUCGUGAAACCUAUUACAAUAGCAUGAUCAUCUCAUACAUCAUACAUGCAACAUCACAACUUUGGCCAUAUCACAUCACAUGUCAAACCCUGCAAAAACAAGUUAGACGUCCUCUAAUUGUUUUUGCAAGUUUUACGUGGCUAAUUUGGGUUUCUAGCAAAAACGCCUUCUUACCUACGUGACAGCCACAACGAUGAUAUGCCAAAGCUAUUUGCCCUUCGUAAGGACCCUUUUCAUCAAAUCCAAUCCGACUAGAGUGGGAGAGACAGACACCCGCUAGCCACCUUUAUGCACGUUGUGCAUGUGGUGGAACCAGUCUCACGUAAGCGUACGUGUAAGGUCGGUCCGGGCCGCUUCAUCCCACAAUACCGCCGGAAAAGAAUAAGACUAGUAGCGGCAAGAAAUUUACAAAUCAUCGCCCACAACCUUUUGUGUUCUACUCGUGCAUAGAAUCUACGCAUAGAAAACCUGGCUCGGAUGCCACUGUUGGGUACGUAGCAUAAAUUCAAAACAUUUCCUACGCACAUUCAGAUCUUCCUAUGGAGAGCCCAGCAACGAGAGAGGGGUGAGUGCAUCUUCAUACCUUUUAAGAUUGCUAAGCGGAAGCGUUGCUAGAACACGGUUGAUGGAGUCGUACUCACGGCGAUUCAGAUCACGGUGUGAUUCCGAUCUAGUGCCGAACCACGGCACCUCCGCAUUCAACACACGUGCAGUUCGGUGACGUCUCCCGCACCUUGAUCCAGCAAGAAGGAGGGAGAGGUUGGGGAAGAUCUCCGGCAGCACGACGGCGUGGUGUCGAUGGAGGGACGACAUCUCCCGGCAGGGCUUCGCCAAGCACCGGCAGAGAGGAGGAGAAAGAAGAGCAGGGCUGCGCCGAGGGAGAGGGAAAACUAUGUCUCCAAAAGCCUGAAAGUUCCCACUAUAUAUAGGAGGAGGAGGGGGGUGCCACCCCUAGGGUUCCCACCCUAGGUGGUGCGGCAGCCCCCCCAGAUGGGUGGUGUGGCGGCAAGGGCAGGGGGGAGGGGUGGCGCACCCCUAGGUGGGCCUUAGGCCCACCAGCGCCUAGGGUUUCCCUCCCCCUCUCCACCUCCUGUGCCUUGGGCUGAGUGUGGGGGGCGCACCAGCCCACCUAGGGGCUGGUUUCCUCCCGCACUUAGCCCAUCUAGCCUCCCGGGGUCGUUGCACCCUUCCGGUGGUCCCGGUGGUCCCGGUACGUUACUGGUGACGCCCGAAACACUUUCGGUGUACGAAACCAUUCGUCCUAUAUAUCAAUCUUUACCUUCGGACCAUUCUGGAGCUCCUCGUGACGUCCGGGAUCUCAUCCGGGACUCCGAACAACUUUCGAUAACCUCGUAUAACAAUUCCCUAUGACCCUAGCGUCAUCGAACCUUAAGUGUGUAGACCCUACGGGUUCGGGAGACAGGUAGACAUGACCGAGACACCUCUCCGGCCAAUAACCAUCAGCGGGGUCUGGAUACCCAUGGUGGCUCCCACUUUCUCCAUGAUGAUCUCAUCGGAUGAACCACGAUGUCAAGGAUUCAAUCAAUCCUGUAUACAAUUCCCUUUGUCUGUCGGUAUAGAACUUGCCCGAGAUUCGAUCGUCGGUAUACCUAUACCUUGUUCAAUCUCGUUACCUGUAAGUCUCUUUACUCGUUCCGUAGUAGGUCAUCGUGUGACUAACUCCUUAGUCACAUUGAGCUCAUGAUGAUGUUCUACCGAGUGGGCCCAGAGAUACCUCUCCGUCACACGGAGUGACAAAUCCCGAUCUCGAUUCGUACCAACCCAACAGACACUUUCAGAGGUACCCAUAGUGCACCUUUAUAGUCACCCAGUUACAUUGUGACAUUUGAUACACCCAGAGAACUCCUACGGUAUCCGGGAGUUGCACAAUCUCACGGUCGAAGGAAAGACACUUGACAUUAGAAAAUCUUUAGCAUACGAACAAUGCGAUCUAGUGCUACGCUUAGGAUUGGGUCUUGUCCAUCACAUCAUUCUCCCAAUGAUGUGAUCCCAUUAUCAAUGACAUGUAAUGCCCAUGACCAGGAAACCAUGAUCAUCUAUUAACUAACGAGCUAGCCAACUAGAGGCUUGCUAGGGACACAUUGUGAUCUAUUUAUUCACACAUGUAUUACUGUUUCCUGUUAAUACAAUUAUAGCAUGAACAAUAGACGAUUAUCAUGAACAAGGAAAUAUGAUAAUAACCAUUUUAUUAUUGCCUCUAGGGCAUAUUUCCAACAAUUUGUUGCUUCCGCUGACUCGUGUGUUUAGCGAGCUUAUGUAUUCUAGUCCUCCAGGCCCCUCGCUUGUAAAAUCUUGUAUGGUUUAUUUGUGUCUAGAGUUGUGUUGUGCUAUUUGUUGGAAAACGUAGUAAAUUCAAAAAUUUCCUAUGCCAUACAAGGACCUAUCUAUGGAGAAACCAGCAACGAGAGAGGUUGUAGAGCAUCUUCAUAUAUUUGAAGAUCGCUAAGAGGAAGCGUUACUAGAACGCGGUCGAUGGAGUCGUACUAGCACCGAUUCAGAUCGCGGUCGGUUCCGAUCUAUGUGCCGGAACACGGCACAUCCGCGUUCAACACACGUGCAGCCCGGUGACGUCUCCCACGCCUUGAUCCAGCAAGGAGGAGGGAUAGGUUGAGGGAGAGCUCCGGCAGCGCGACGGUGCGGUGGCGGUGGAGCUACGAGAUAUUCCGGCAGGGCUUCGCCAAGCACCACGGAAGAGGAGGAAGAGGAGGAGCAGGGCUACGCCGAGAGAACACUGGUGCCAUUGCCUUAGCAAAAGAACCAAGGUUUCACAAGAAGACUAGACACAUCAAACCACGCUUUAACCUCAUCCACGACUAUGUCGAAGGAGAGGACGUGAAUAUUUGCAAAGUGCACACGGAUCUGAAUGUAGCAGACCCGCUGACUAAACUUCUUCCACGGGCAAAACAUGAUCAACACCAGAACUGUAUGGGUGUUUGAUUUAUUACAAUGUAAAUCGCAUGGCGAUGUGAGGACUAGAUUAUUGACUCUUGUGCUAGUGGGAGACUGUUGGAAAUAUGCCCUAGAGGCAAUGAUAAAUAGUUAUUAUUAUAUUUCCUCUUUAAUGGUAAUCGUUUAUUAUCCAUGCUAUAAUUGUAUUGAAUGAAAACAUAGAUACAUGUGUGGAUACAUAGACAAAACAAUGUCCCUAGCAAGCCUCUAGUUGGCUAGCCACUUGAUCAAUGAUAGUCAAGGUUUUCUCACUAUGUGCAAGUGUUGUCACUUGAUAACUGGAUCACAUCAUUAGGGGAAUCAUGUGAUGGACUAGACCCAAACUAUGAACGUAGCAUAUUGAUCGUGUCGUUUUAUUGCUAUUGUUUUUUGCGUGUCAAGUAUUUGUUCCUAUGACCAUGAGAUCAUCUAACUCACUGGCACCGGAGGAAUAGCUUGUGUGCAUCAAACAUCACAACGUAACUGGGUGACUAUAAAGGUGCUCUAGACGUAUCUCCGAAGGUGUCCGUUGAGUUAGUAUGGAUCAAGACUGGGAUUUGUCACUCCUUGUGACGGAGAGGUAUCUCGGGGCCCACUCGGUAAUACAACAUCACACGUGUAUUACGGAACGAGUAAAGAGACUUGCUGGUAAUGAGAUUGAAAUAGGUAUGCGGAUACCGACGAUCAAAUAUCACGCAAGUAACAUACCAAAGGACAAAGGGAAUGACAUACAGGAUUAUAUGAAUCCUUGACACUGAGGUUCAACCGAUAAGAUACUCGGAUAAUAUGUAGGAUCCAAUAUGUGCAUCUAGGUCCCGCUAUUGGAUAUUGACCAAGGAGUACCUCGGGGCAUGUCUACAUAGUUCUCGAACCCGCAGGGUCUGCACACUUAAGGUUCGAUGAUGUUUUAGUAUAGUUGAGUUAUAUGUGUGGUUACCGAAUGUUGUUCGGAGUCCCGGAUGAGAUCACGGACGUCAUGAGGGUUUCCGGAAUGGUCCGGAAACGAAGAUUGAUAUAUAGGAUCACUUCAUUUGGUUACCGGAAGGUUUUCGGGCAUUACCGGGAUUGUACCGGGAGUGACAAAUGGGUUCCGGAAGUUCACCAGGAGGGGCCCAACCCACCCGGGGGAAGCCCAAUGACCUUAGGUGUGGCACACCAUCCCUUAGUGGGCUGGUGGGACAGCCCAAGAGGGCCUUGGCGCCAUAAGAAGAAAACCAAAGUAAAAAAGGGGGAGGUGGGAAGGAAGGAAGGACUCCACUUUCCAAUCCUAAUUGAGUAGGAUUCCUCCUCCUCCUCCUAGCCGGUGCACCCUUGAGGGCUUGGCCCUCAAGGCAAGCCUCCUUCCCCUCCCUCCUAUAUAUAGUGGUGAUUUAGAGCUGAUUUGAGACAACUUUUACCACGUGCAACUCAGAUCUAGACAACAUAGUUUUACCUCUAGAUCGUAUUACCGCGGAGCUCGGGCGAAGCCGUGCGGGAGUAGAUCCUCACCACCACCGGAGCGCCAUCAUGCUGCUGUAUAACUCAUCUACUUAUCCGUCUUGAUUGCUGGAUCAAGAAGGCCGAGAUCAUCGUCGAGCUGUACGUGUGCUGAACGUGGAGGUGCCGUCCGUUCGGCACUAGAUCGAAACAGAUCGCAGGACGGAUCGCAGGACGGUUCGUGGGGCUGAUCGAGGGACGUGAAGACGUUCCACUACAUCAACCGCGUUUCUUAACGCUUCCUGCUGUGCGAUCUACAAGGGUGCGUAGAUCUAAAUCUCCUCUCGUAGAUGGACAUCACCAUGAUAGGUCUUCGUGUGCGUAGGAUUUUUUUUGUUUCCCAUGCAACGUUCCCCAACAGUGGCAUCAUGAGCUAGGUUCAUGCGUAGAUGUUAUCUCGAGUAGAACACAAAGGGUUUUGUGGACGGUGAUGUUCGAUCUGCUGCCUUCCUUAGUCUUUUCUUUAUUUGACGGUAUUGUUGGAUUGAAGCGGCCCGGACCGACAUUAUUCGUACGCUUACGAAAGACUGGUUUCAUCGAUUGACAUGCAACGUCGUUGCAUAAAGAUGACUCGCGGAUGUCGGUUUCUUCAACUUUAGUUGAAUUUGUUUUGACCAAGGCGGUCCUUGGAGAGGUUAAAUAGCAAUUUGCACAUCUCCCUGUGGUUUUUGCGUAAGUAAGAUGCGAUCAUACUAGAUACCCAUAGCAGCCACGUAAAACACACAACAACAAAUUAGAGGACGUCUAACUUGUUUUUGCAGGGUAUGCUUGUGAUAUGAUAUGGCCAAUGACGUGAUGUGAUAUAUUGUAUGUAUGAUAUGAUCAUGUUGUAAUAGUUAAUAUCGACUUGCACGUCGAUGGUACGGCAACCGACAGGAGCUAUAGGGUUGUCUUUAAACUAACGUUUGUGUUUGCAGAUGUGUUACUAUAUUGCUAGGACGUAGCUUUAGUAGUAAUAGCAUAAGUAGCACGACAGCCCCGAUGGCAACACGUUGAUGGAGAUCAUGAUGAUGGAGAUCAUGGUGUGGCGCCGGUGACAACAAGAUCGUGUCGGUGCUUUGGUGAUGGAGAUCAAGAAGCACACGACAAUGGCCAUAUCAUGUUACUUAUGAAUUGCAUGUGAUGUUAAUCCUUUUAUGCACCUUAUUUUGUUUAGAACGACGGUAGCAUUAUGAGCUGAUCUCUCACUAAAAUUUCAAGACGAAAUUGUGUUCUCCUCGACUGUGCAAUGUUGCUACAGUUCGUCGUUUCGAGACACCACGUGAUGAUUGGGUGUGAUAGACUCAAUGUUCACAUACAACGGGUGCAAAACAGUUGCACACGCGGAACACUCGGGUUAAGCUUGACGAGCCUAGCAUGUGCAGACAUGGCCUUGGAACACAUGAGACCGAAAGGUCGAGCAUGAAUCGUGUAGUUGAUAUGAUUAGCAUAGAGAUGCUUACCACUGAAACUAUUCUCAACUCACGUGAUGAUCCGACUUGAGUUAGUGAAUUUGGAUCAUGUACCACUCAAAUGACUAGAGAGAUGUACUUUUUGAGUGGGAGUUUAGCAAGUAAUUUGAUUAGCUGAACUUUAAUUAUCUUGAACAUAGUCUAAGUCCACUUUGAAAAUAUUUGUGUUGUAGAUCAAUGGCUCACGCGAGAGUCACCCUGAAUUUUAAUAUGUUCCUAGAGAAAGCUAAGUUGAAAGAUGAUGGAAGCAACUUUGUAGACUGGCCUCGUAAUCUUAAGUUGCUCUUGCAAGCUCGGAAGAAGGAUUAUGUCCUUAAUGCUACGCUAGGAGAUGAACCACCCGCCAUGGCUGACCAAGAUGUUAAGAACGCUUGGUUAGCACGCAAGGAGGACUACUUAGUAGUUCAGUGUGCAGUCUUGUAUGGCUUAGAGCCAGGACUUCAACGUCGCUUUGAGCAUCAUGGAACAUUUGAGAUGUUCCAGGAGUUGAAGUUUAUCUUUUAGAAGAACGCCCAGAUCGAGAGAUAUGAGACCUCCGAUAAAUUCUAUGCUUGCAAGAUGAAGGAGAAUUCGUCUGUCAGUUAACAUGUUCUCAAAAUGUGUGGGUACUCAAACCGUCUAGCUGAGCUGGGGAUUGAACUCCCGCAAGAGGCUAUCACUGACAGAAUUCUUCAAUCACUGCCACCAAGCUACAAGAGCUUUGUGUUGAACUAUAACAUGCAAGGGAUGAACAAGUCACCCGACGAGUUAUUCGCGAUGCUGAAAGUCGCAGAGUCAGAACUCCGUAAAGAGCAUCAAGUGAUGAUGGUGAAUAAGACCACUAGUUUCAAGAGAAACGACAAAGGAAAGAAGGGUAAUUCCAAGAAGAGCGGCAAGCCUGUUGCCAAUCCGACGAAGAAACCCAAGGCUGGACCUAAGCCUAAAACAGAGUGUUAUUAUUGCAAGGGUAUGGGUCACUAGAAGCGCAACUGCCCCAAGUAUUUGGCUGGUAAGAAGGCGACCAAGGAAAAAUCAGGUAUAUUCGAUAUACAUGUUAUUGAUGUGUACUUAACCAGCUCUCGUAGUAGUGCCUGGGUAUUCGAUACCGGUUCUGUUGCUCAUAUUUGCAACUCAAAACAAGAACUACAGAAUAAGUGAAGGCUGGCGAAGGAUGAAGUGACGAUGCGCAUGGGAAAUGGUUCCAAGGUUGAUGCAAUCACCGUCGGCACAGUUUCACUUCAGUUACCAUCAAGAUUACUUCUGAACUUAAAUAAUUGUUAUUUAGUGCCUGCGUUAAGCAUGAACAUUAUAUAUGGAUCUUGUUUAUUGCGAGAUGGUUACUCGUUUAAGUCAGAGAAUAAUGGUUGUUCUAUUUCUAUGAGUAAUAUCUUUUAUGGUCUUGCACCCAAUGUGAGAGGAUUGUUCAUAUUGAAUCUUGAUAACGAUAAUACACAUAUACAUAACAUUGAGACCAAAAGAGUUAGAGUUAACAAUGAUAGCGCCAUGUUUUUAUGGCACUGCCGCUUAGGUCAUAUUUGUGUAAAGCGCAUGAAGAAACUCCAUACCGAUGGACUUUUCGAGUCACUUGACUUUGAUUCACUUGACACGUGCGAACCAUGCCUCAUGGGCAAGAUGACUAAGACUCCGUUCUCCGGAACAAUGGAGCGUGCAAGUGACUUGUUGGAAAUCAUACAUACCGAUGUAUGCGGUCCGAUGAGUGUGGAUGCGCGCGGCGGAUAUCGUUAUUUUCUCACCUUCACUGACGAUUUGAGUAGAUAUGGUUAUGUCUACUUGAUGAAGCACAAGUCUGAAACGUUUGAGAAGUUCAAGCAAUUUCAGAGUGAAGUUGAAAAUCAUCAUAACAAGAAGAUCAAGUUCCUACGGUCUGAUCGUGGGGGUGAAUAUCUGAGUUUCGAGUUUUGUUCUCACUUAAUACAAUGUGGAAUUGUUUCACAGUUGACACCGCCUGGAACACCACAGCAUAAUGGUGUGUCUGAACGUCGUAAUCGUACUUUAUUAGAGAUGGUGCGAUCUAUGAUGGAUCUUACCGAUUUGCCGUUAUCGUUUUGGGGUUAUGCAUUAGAGACAGCUGCAUUCACUUUAAAUAGGGCACCAUCAAAAUCCGUUGAGACGACACCAUACGAAUUGUGGUAUGGCAAAAGACCAAAGUUGUUGUUUCUUAAAGUUUGGGGAUGUGAUGCUUAUGUCAAGAAGCUUCAACCUGAAAAGCUGGAACCCAAAGCGGAAAAGUGCGUCUUCAUAGGUUACCCAAAAGAGACAGUUGGGUAUACCUUCUAUCUCAAAUCCGAGGGCAAAGUGUUUGUUGCUAAAAACAGAGCUUUUCUUGAGAAGGAGUUUCUCUCGAAAGAAUUGAGUGGGAGGAAGAUAGAACUUGAUGAGGUUGUCGAACCUCUAAUCCCUCUAGAUGGUGGCGCAGGGCAAGGGGAAACCCCUGUUGCUGCGGCGCCGGUUGAGGAGCAAGUUGAUGAUGAUCAUCAUGAAACUUCGGAUCAAGUUCCUAUCGGACCUCACAGGUCGACAAGAUCACGUAUUACUCCUGAGUGGUACGGUAAUCCUGUCUUAUCAAUUAUGUUGUUGGACAACAAUGAACCUGCGAAUUACGAAGAAGCAAUAGUGGGCCCGGAUUCCAACAAAUGGUUGGAGGCCAUGAAGUCUGAGAUAUGAUCCAUGUACGAAAUCAAAGUGUGGACUUUGGAAGUACUACCUGAAGGCCGCAAGGCUAUUCAGAACAAAUGGAUCUAUAAGAAGAAGACGGACGCAGACGGUAAUGUGACCGUUUAUGAAGCUCGACUUGUGGCAAAGGGUUUUUCACAAGUUCAAGGAUUGGACUACGAUGAUACUUUCUCACCGGUAUCAAUGCUUAAGUCCGUCCGAAUCAUGUUAGCAAUAGCUUCCUUUUACAAUUAUGAAAUCUGGCAGAUGGAUGUCAAAACGGUGUUCCUUAACGGUUUUCUUAAGGAAGAGUUGUAUAUGAUGCAACCCGAAGGUUUUGUCGAUCCAAAGAAUGCUAACAAAGUAUUCAAGCUCCAGCGAUCCAUUUAUGGACUGGUGCAAGCAUCUUGGAGUUGGAAUAAGCGCUUUGAUGAGGUGAUCAAAGCAUUUGGGUUUAUACAAGUGGUUGGAGAAUCUUGUAUUUACAAGAAAGUGAGUGGGAGCUCUGUGGUGUUUCUAAUAUUAUAUGUGGAUGACAUAUUGCUGAUUGGAAACAACGUGGAGCUUUUGGAGAGCAUAAAGGAUUACUUGAAUAAAAGUUUCUCUAUGAAGGAUCUAGGAGAAGCUGCUUACAUUCUAGGCAUUAAGAUCUAUAGGGAUAGAUCGAAACGCCUGAUAGGACUUUCACAAAGUACAUACCUUGAUAAAUUUUGAAGAAGUUCAACAUGGAUCAGUCCAAGAAAGGGUUCUUGCCAGUAUUACAAGGUAUAAAAUUGAGUAAGACUCGGUGCCCAACAACUGCGGAAGAUAGAGAACAAAUGAGUUCCGUCCCCUACGCUUCGGCCGUAGGUUCUAUCAUGUAUGCAAUGUUCUGCACUAGACCAGACGUCAGCUUGGCCAUAAGUAUGGCAGGCAGGUUUCAGAGUAAUCCAGGAGUGGAUCACUGGACGACGGUUAAGAAUAUUCUGAAGUACCUGAAAAGGACUAAGGAAAUGUUUCUCGUUUAUGGAGGUGACAAAGAGCUCGUCGUAAAAGGUUACGUCGACGCAAGUUUUGACACCGAUCCGGAUGACUCUAAUUGGCAAGCCGGGUACGUAUUUAUUCUUAAUGGCGGUGCGGUAAGCUGGUGGAGUUCCAAGCAGAGCGUCGUAGCAGAUUCUACUUGUGAAGCGGAGUACAUAGCUGCCUCGGAGGCAGCAAAGGAGGGUGUGUGGAUGAAGUAGUUCAUGACAGAUCUUGGAGUUGUGCCGAGCGCACUAGAUCCAUUAACUCUGUUAUGUGACAACACUCGUGCCAUUGCCUUAGCAAAGGAACCAAGGUUUCACAAGAAGACCAACCACGUCAAACGGCGCUUCAACCUCAUCCGCGACUAUGUCGAAGGAGAGGACGUGAAUAUUUACAAAGUGCACACAUAUCUGAAUGUAGAAGACCUGCUGACUAAACCUCUUCCACAGGCAAAACAUGAUCAACACCAGAACUGUAUGGGUGUUCGAUUUAUUACAAUGUAAAUUGCAUGGCGAUGUGAGGACUAGAUUAUUGACUCUAGUGCAAGUGGGAGACUGUUGGAAAUAUGCCGUAGAGGCAAUGAUAAAUAGUUAUUAUUAUAUUUCCUGUUUAAAGAUAAUCGUUUAUUAUCCAUGCUAUAUUUGUAUUGAAUGAAAACAUAGAUACAUGUGUGGAUACAUAGACAAAACAAUGUCCCUAGCAAGCCUCUAGUUGGCUAGGCACUUGAUCAAUGAUAAUCAAGGUUUUCUGACUAUGUGCAAGUGUUGUCACUUGAUAACUAGAUCACAUCAUUAGGAGAAUCAUGUGAUGGACUAGACCCAAACUAUGAACGCAGCAUAUUGAUCGUGUCGUUUUAUUGCUAUUGUUUUCUCCGUGUCAAGUAUUUGUUCCUAUGACCAUGAUAUCAUAUAACUCACUGGCACCGGAGGAAUACCUUGUGUGCAUCAAACGUCACAACGUAACUGGGUGACUAUAAAGGUGCUCUACAGGUAUCUCUGAAGGUGUCCAUUGAGUUAGUAUGGAUCAAGACUGGGAUUUGUCACUCUGUGUGACGGAGAGGUAUCUCGGGGCCCACUCGGUAAUACAACAUCACACACAAGCCUUGCAAGCAAUGUGACUAAGUGUAAUUCACGGUAUCUUGUAUUGCGGAACGAGUAAAGAGACUUGCUGGUAACGAGAUUGAAAUAGGUAAGCGGAUACCGACGAUCAAAUCUCGGGCAAGUAACAUACCGAAGGACAAAGGGAAUGACAUACGGGAUUAUAUGAAUCCUUGACACUGAGGUUCAACCGAUAAGAUCUUCGGAGAAUAUGUAGGAUCCAAUAUGGGCAUCCAGGUCCCGCUAUUGGAUAUUGACCGAGGAGUACCUCGGGGCAUGUCUACAUAGGUCUCGAACCCGCAGGGUCUGCACACUUAAGGUUCGAUGAUGUUUUAGUAUAGUUGAGUUAUAUGUGUGGUUACCGAAUGUUGUUUGGAGUCCCGGAUGAGAUCACGGACGUCACGAGCGUUUCCGGAAUGGUUCGGAAACAAAGAUUGAUAUAUAGGAUGGCUUCAUUUGGUUACCGGAAGGUUUUCACACAUUACCGGGAUUGUACUGGGAGUCACGAAUGGGUUCCGGAAGUUCACCGGGAGGGAGGCAACCCACCCGGAGGAAGCCCAAUGGCCUUAGGGGUGGUGCACCAGCCCUUAGUGGGCUGGUGGGACAGCCCAAGAGGGCCUUGGUGCCAUAAGAUGAAAACCAAAAAAAAGGGGAGGUGGGAAGGAAGAGAAGGACUCCACUUUCCAAUCCUAAUUGGAGUACGAUUCCUCCUCCUCCUCCUAGCCGGCGCACCCUUGAGGGAUUGGCCCUCAAGGCAAGCCUCCUCCCCCUCCCUCCUAUACAUAGUGGUGAUUUAGGGAUGAUUUGAGACAACUUUUGCCACGUGCAACUCAGAUCUAGACACCAUAGUUUUACCUCUAGGUCGUAUUUCUCCGGAGCUCGGGCGGAGCCCUGCAGGAGUAGAUCCUCACCACCACCAGAGUGCCGUCAUGCUGCCGGAGAACUCAUAUACUUCUCCGUCUUGCUUGCUGGAUCAAGAAGGCCGAGAUCAUCAUCGAGCUGUACGUGUGCUGAAUGCGGAGGUGCCGUACGUUCGGCACUAGAUCGUAACAGAUCGCGGGACGGUUCGUGGGAUGGUUCGUGGGGCUGAUCGAGGGACAUGAGGACGUUCCGCUACAUCAACCGCGUUUCUUAAUGCUUCUUGUUGUGCGAUCUACAAGGUUACGUAGAUCCAAAUAUCCUCUCGUAGAUGGACAUCACCAUGAUAGGUCUUCGUGUGUGUAGGAUUUUUUUUGUUUCCCAUGCAUCGUUCCCCAACAUGCGGCAGCCCCAUCUGGCGUGGGAGGUGGCAGCCAGGGCAAGGGAGAGGGGGAUGGCGCACCCCAGAUGGGCCUUAGGCCAAUCUGCACUAGGGUUUCCCCCCUUCCCUCUCUUGCUGCGCUUUCGUCCUAGGUGGGAGGCGCACCAGCCCACUCUCGGCUGGUUGCCUUCCACCUUUUGGCCCAUGCCAGCCUUUGGGGCUGGUGGCCCCUCCUAGUGGACCCCUGGAACCCUUCCAGUGGUCCCGGUACGUUACCGGUGACGCUCGAAACAUUUCCGGUGUCCAAAAACUCUCAUCCUAUAUAUCAAUCUUUACCUCCGGACCAUUCGGGAGCUUCUUGUGACGUCCGGGAUCUCAUCCGGGACUCCUAACAACCUUCGGUAACCACGUACACGAUUUCCCUAUAACCCCGACGUCAUCAAACAUUAAGUGUGUAGACCCUACGGGUUGGGGAGACGUGCAGACAUGACCGAGACAUCUCUCCGGCCAAUAACCAACAACGGGGUCUGGAUAUCCAUGUUGGUUCCCACAUGUUCCACGAUGAUCUCAUCAGAUGAAUCACGAUGUCAAGGAUUCAAUCAAUCCCGUAUGCAAUUCCCUUUGUUUAUCGGUAUGAUACUUGCCCGAGAUUUGAUUGUCGGUAUCCCUAUACCUUGUUCAGUCUCGUUACCCGGCAAGUCUCUUUACUCGUUCCGUAACACAUCAUCCCGUGGCUAACCAGUCACACUGAGCUCAAUAUGAUGAUGGAUUACCGAGUGGGCCCAGAGAUACCUCUCUGUCACACCGAGUGACAAAUCCCCGUCUCGAUUGGUACAACUCAACAGACACUUUCGGAGAUACCCGUAGUGCACCUUUAUAAUCACCCAGUUACAUUGUGACGUUUGGUACACCCAAAGCACUCCUACGGUUUCCAGGUGUUGCACAAUCUUACGGUCGAAGGAAAAGACACUUGACAUUAGAAAAGCUUUAGCAUACGAACAACACGAUCUAGUGCUAUGCUUAGGAUUGGGUAUUGUCCAUCACAUCGUUCCCCAAUGAUGUGAUCCCGUUAUCAACGACAUCCAAUGUCCAUGAUCAUCUAUUGAUCAACCAGCUAGCCAACUAGAGGCUUACUAGGGACACAUUGUGAUCUAUAUAUUCACACAUGUAUUACGGUUUCUGGUUAAUACAAUUAUAGUUUGAAUAAUAGGAAACUAUCAUGAACUAGGAAAUAUAAUAAUAACCAAUUUAUUAUUCCCUCUAGGGCAUAUUUUCCAACAGUCUCCCACUUGCACUAGUGUCAAUAAUCUAGUUCACAUCACUAUGUGAUUGCAAUGAAUCCAACACCCAUAUAGUUCUGGGGUUCGAUCAUGUCUUGCUUGUGAGAGAGGUUUAUUAGUCAAUGGGUCUGAACCUUUCAGAUCCGUGUGUGCUUUACAAAUCUCUGUGUCUUCAUAUAGAUACUGCUACCAUGCACCAUUUGGAACUAUUCCAAAUGACUGCUCCACUAUACGAAUCCGGUUUACUACUCAUAGUCAUUUGGAUUAGUGACAAAGCUUGCAUCGACGUAAACCCUUUACGAUGAACUCUUUAAUCAACUCCAUAAUCGAGAAAAAAAAUCCUUAGUCCACUAGUUACUAAUGAUAUCUUUGACCUCUAUCCAGUGAUCCUUUCCUGGAUCACCCUUGUACCCCUUGACUGACUCAUGGCAAGGCACACUUUAGGUGCGGUACACAGCAUAUCAUACUUAUAGAGCCUACGGCUGAUGCAUAGGGGACGACCUUCGUCCUUUCUCUUUCUUAUGCCGAGGUUGGGCUUUUGAGUCUUACUAAAAAAUUCACACCUUAUAACACAGCCAAGAACUCCUUCUUUUGCCGAUCUAUUUUGAACACUUUCAAAAAAAUUGUCAAGGCAUGCAUUUUGUUGAAAGUUCAAUUAAGCACUUUGAUCUAUCUCCAUAGAUCUUGAUGCUCAAGGUUCAGUUAGCUCACCCAGGCUUUCCUUUGAAAAACUCCUUUCAAAGAACCCUUUAUGCUUUCCAGUAUUUCUACAUUAUUUCCGAUCAACAAUAUGUCAACAAUAUAUUCAUUAGAAAUUCUAUAGUGCUCCCACUCACUUCUUUGGAAAUACAAGUUUCUCAUAAACCUUGUAUAAAACCAAAAACUUUGAUCAUCUCAUCAAAGUGUAUAUUCCAACUCCGAGAUGCUUGCUCCAGUCCAUAGAAGGAUCGAUGAAGCUUUGGAUACUUGUUAGCACCCUUUAGGAUCGACAAAAUCUUCUGGUCGUAUCACAUACAACCUUUCCUCAAGGAAACCGUCGAGGAAACAAUAUUUUUUGACAUCCUAUCUGCAAGAUUUCAUAAAUGAUGCAGCAACUGCUAACAUAAUUCCAACAGACUUUCAGCAUCGCUACGAGUGAGAAAGUUUCAUCAUAGUCAAGUCUUUGAACUUUGUCGGAAACACCUUUGCGACAAGUCGACCUUUCUUGAUGGUGACUUUUCACCAUCAUCGUCUGUCUUACUUUUAAAGGUCCAUUCAUAGUUAAUAGUCUUAUGACCAUCAGGUGGUUCUUCCAAAGUCUAUACUUUGUUUUCAUACAUGGAUCCUCUCUCGGAUUUCAUGGCCUCCAGCCAUUUGUCGGAAUCCAGGCCCACCAUCGCUUCUCCAUGUCUCGUAGGUUCAUUGUGUCCAACAACAUGACCUCUAAGACGGGAUUACCUUACCACUCUGUAGUAGUACGCAUCCUUGUCCACCUACGAGGUUUUGGCAGUGACUUGAUCCGAAACUGCAUGAUCACUAUCAUAAGCUUCCACUUCAAUUGGUGUAGGCGCCACAUGAACAACUUCCUGCGCCCUGCCAUACACUGGUUGAAGUGAUGGUUCAAUAACCUCAUCAAGUAUCCACCAUACUCCCACUCAACUCUUUCGAGAGAAAUCUUUCCUCGAGAAAGGACCCGUUUCUAGAAAUAAACACUUUUGCUUCCGGAUCUGAUAUAGGAGGUAUACGCAACUGUUUUGGGUGUCCUAUGAAGAUGCAUUUAUCCGCUUUGGGUUCGAGCUUAUCAAGCUGAAACUCUUUCACAUAAGCAUCACAACCCCAAACUUUUAAGAAAUGACAGCUUAUGUUUCUCUAAACCAUAGUUCAUACGGUGUCAUCUCAAAGGAAUCACGUGUCCCUUUUUAAAGUGAGUGCGGUUGUCUCUAAUGCCUAACCCAUAAACGAUAGUGGUAAUUNUCAGUGCCAAGUGCCAGUUCCUGUUUUUUCCAUGUUUUUGACCCCUUUCAGAGGAGAUUUUGAAACGGAGUCCAAACGGAAAAAAAUCUGCGAAAAGAUUUUUUUGGAACGGAAGAAGAUCGGGGAGCUUGGGAGCCAAGGCAGGGGAGCCCCAGGGGCCCCACAAGCCUCCACCCCGCGGCCAGGGGGGCUCCAUCCAGUCUUGUGGGCCCCCUCGACGCCCUUCUCCCUAGGUCUUUCGCCUAUAUAUUCCCAUAAAUUCCAUAAAAAAUCAAGAGAUCAUCACAAUCACUUUUCCGCCGCCGCAAGCUUCUAUCUCCGCAAGAUCCCAUCUAGGGCACGUCCUGGUGCCCUGCCGGAGGGGGAUUUGGACACGGAGGGCUUCUUCAUCAACACCAUGACCUCUCCAAUGAUGCGUGAGUAGUUCACCAUAGACCUACGGGUCCAUAGCUAGUAACUUGAUGGCUUCUUCUCUCUCUUGGAUCUUCAAUACAAAGUUCUCCACGAUCUUCAUGGAGAUCUAUCCGAUGUAAUCUUCUUUUGCGGUGUGUUUGUCGAGAUUCGAUGAAUUGUGGAUUUAUGAUCAGAUUAUCUAUGAAUCUUAUUUGAGUUUCUUUUGAUCUCUCUUAUGCAUGAUUUAAUAUCCUUGUAAUUCUCUUCGAGUUGUGGGUUUUGUGUGGCCAACUAGAUCUAUGAUUCUUGCAAUGGGAGAAGUGCUUGGUUUUGGGUUCAUACCGUGCGGUGACCUCACCCAGUGACAGAAGGGAUAGCGAGGCACACAUCAUGUUGUCGCCAUCAAGGGUAAAAAGAUGGGGUUUUCAUCAUUGGUUUGAGAUUAUCCCUCUACAUCAUGUCAUCUUGCUUAAGGCGUUACUCUGUUCGUCAUGAACUCAAUACACUAGAUGCAUGCUGGAUAGCGGUCGAUGUGUGGAGUAAUAGUAGUAGAUGCAGAAAGUAUUGGUCUACUUGUCUCGGACGUGAUGCCUAUAUGUAUGAUCAUUUCCUUAGAUAUCGUCAUGACUUUGCGCGGUUCUAUCAAUUGCUCGACGGUAAUUUGUUCACCCACCGUGAUACUUGCUAUUUUGAGAUAAGCCUCUAGUGAACACUAUGGCCCCCAGGGUCUACUCCACACCAUAUUUUCAGCCUUACACUUUUUACUUCAUUGCACUUUUUGCCUUCAGAUCUCACUUUGCAAACAAUCUUGAAGGGAUUGACAACCCCUUUGAAGCGUUGGGUGCAAGCUUGUUUGUGUUUGCGCAGGUACUCUGGACUUGACGAGACCCUCCUUCUGGAUCGAUACCUUGGUUCUCAAACUGAGGGAAAUACUUACUGCUCCUGUGCUGCAUCACCCUUUCCUCUUCAAGGGAAAAACCAACGCAAGCCUAGCCUCUAUCAACGUGUCAAUUUCUGGCGCUGUUGUCUGUGGGAUAGCAGAACAAUUUCUGGCGCCGUUGUCGGGGAGGAAGAUCAAGUCAAGAACUCAUCCAAGUAGGUGUCGCAAACUCAUCUCUUGCAUUUACUUUGUUUGUUAGUUGCCUCUCGUUUUCCUCUCCCCCACUUCACAUUUUGCCUUUUUCAUUUGCCUUUUCCGUUUGCCUUUUCGUUCCCCCUUUUCUUUCGCUUGCUUUCUGUUUGCUUGUGUUGCCAUGUGCCUUCAAUAUGCUUGCAUCUUCGCUUGCUGAAAAUCUAGUGAUAUGGAUCCUCAUCCACUUGCUAAUCUCUUCAAGAGAUCCAAUUAUGUUGAUCCAAUUGCUAGUGAGUUGAGUGCACUUGACUAUCUUUAUGGAGUUUUGCUUGAGAUGCGUGAAUUUGAAAAUUGUGAGGAAGAAAUUUAUGAAGUGAUUCACGAGGGCUCCCUGAAUGAAAAGCAUGAUUGCAAUGGUUUCACUAAAUCUUAUUAGUGACAAUCAUGCUAAAAAUAUGCAAAACCCUAAGCUUGGGGAUGCUAGUUUUGCUUUGUCCACUACUUGUUGCAAUGAUAUUUGCAAUAAUAUUGAAAGUGGGUUUGGAGAAGUCAUGACUUUAGUUGAUGAUAAUCCCACUAUUUUUGAAGAGCGUCAACUUUGCAUGCAUGUGGAUCAUGAAAAGAAUAUCCUAUGUGAUAGUUACAUUGUUGAAUUUGAUUAUGGUCCCACAUGUAAUUGCUAUGAGAGAGGAAAAUAUUAUGGUAGAAACUUUCAUGUUACCAAAUUACCUCUCGUUAUGUGGAGAUUGCUAUUGUCUCUUUCUUCUUCCUUGCAUAUGAAAACUAUUGGUUGUCUUGACAAUAUGUUUUCCUAUAAAACGCCUAUGCAUUGGAAGUAUGUUAGACUUAGAUGUGAUUUUCACAUGCUUUAUGAUGCUCUCGUUGUGCUUCAAUUCUUUUCUUUUGUGCGAGCAUCAUUAAAAUCCUAAUGACUAGCUAAGGGCGUUAAACAAUAGCGCUUGUUGGGAGGCAACCCAAUGAAUUUAUCCUUUUCUUUCUGAUUUGUUGCGUCCACACUUUCACAAUUCUGUUGUGAUUGUGUUUUUUGUGUUUCUUUUUGUGUUUGAGCCAAGCAAAACCUUUAUGACUAGUCUUGGUAAUGGUUGUUUGAUCCUGCUCAAAAAACACAGAAACUUUUCGCUCACGAGAUGAUUUUUCAUUUUUACUGAGAAAGAUAUUUUGAGUUGAUUCUUUUUGCUUCUGGAUGAUAUGCUUAUUUACCAUGCCUUCGUAAGUUCUCAGAUUUUUUGAGGUACCGGAAGUAUACACAGUAUACAGAUUUCUACAGACUGGUCUGUUUUUGACAUAUUCUGUUUUUUGUUGAGUUGGUUGCUUGUUUUGAGGAAAUUAUGGUUAGUAUCGGGGGUACUAGCCAUGGAAAUGUGAGAAUACAGUAUCCCAACACUAAUGUAGAUGGAAUUCAAGUUUGCUACACUACCAAAAGAAGUGGUAGUUUGUUUUCUUGUGCUAAUGUUAUCACGAGUUUCUGUUUAAGUUUUGUGUUGUGAAGUUUUCAAGUUUUGGGUGAUGUUCUCAUGGACGAUGAGAUAAGGAGUGGAAAGAGCUCGAGCUUGGGGAUGCCCAAGGCAUCCCAAGCCAAAUUCAAGGACACCAAAAAGCCUAAGCUUGGGGAUGCCCCGGGAAGGCAUCCCCUCUUUCGUCUUCAAUCCAGCGGUAACAUUACUUGGAGCUAUAUUUUUAUUCACCACAUGAUAUGUGUUUUGCUUGGAGCGUCUUGUAUCUUAGGAGUCUUUUCUUUUUGUUGUGUCACAAUCAUCCUUGCUGCACACCUUUUUGAGAGAGAGAGUCAUGCACUCAUCGUGAUUUUGCUAGAAUGCUCAUAGUGCUUCACUUAUAUCUUUUGAGCUAGAUACUUUUGCUCUUGUGCUUCACUUAUAUCUUUAGAGCACGGUAGUGCGUGAUUUGGUAGUUGGCUUAUGCUAUGAAAGUAGUCCCAAACGUGCUAGGUACCCAAAGAGGAUGCAAAAACCUCCAUCUUCAUGUGCAUUGAGUAGAAAGAGAAGUUUCGAUUCCUCUCAAUUAGUUUUGGGACGUGGAUUCGGUAAUAUUAAGAGUUAUGUUAGCAGGGUGUUAUGAAUCUAGAAAUACUUGUGUUGAAGUUAGUGAUUCCCGUAGCAUGCACGUAUGGUGAACCGCUAUGUUAGGAAGUAGGAGCAUAAUUGAUCUAUUGAUUGUCAUCCUUUGUGUUGAGGUCGGGAUCGCGCGAUGGUUUACACAUACCAACCCUUCCCCUCGGAGUAUGCGUUUAGCGCUUUGUUUCCAUUAGUAAUAAAAACUUUCGCAAUAAGUAUGUGAGUUCUUAAUGACUAAUGUGAGCCCAUGGUAUAUAUGCACUUUCACCUUCCACCAUUUCUAGCCUCUCUAGUGCCGCGCAAUUCUCGUCGGUGCACAAAUCCACCAAAUUCCUUCCUCAAAACAGCCACCAUACCUACCUACUAUGGCAUUUUCAUAGCCAUUCCGAGAUAUAUUUCCAUGCAACUCCCACCGUUCCGUCUCAUGACUUGUGUCGUCACUCUCAUAUUGCCAUUGCAUGAUCGUAAGAUAGCUAGCGAGAUGUUUCAACGUCAUACACCAAGCUAGAUCGUUGCACAACCCGGUACACUGCCGGAGGCAUUUCCUAUGGAGUCAUCAUCAUUGUGAUCUUUGAGCUUUGAGUAAAUAAAAGUGUGAUGAUCAUCAUUAUUAGAGCAUUGUCCCAUGUGAGGAAAUAAAAAAAGGCCAAAGAGCCCAAAAACAAAAAGAGAGAGAGAGAAAAGAAAAGAAAAGAAAAAAAGAGACCUAAGAGCCCAAAUGAAAAAAGGAGAGAAAAAGAGAGAAGGGACAAUGCUACUAUCUUUUUCCACACUUGUGCUUCAUGUUAGCACCAUGUUCUUCAUGAUUGAGAGCUUCUUGCUUUGUCACUACCAUAUGCUAGUGGGAAUCUUCAUUAUAUAACUUGGCUUGUAUAUUCCAAUGAUGGGCUUCCUCAAAAUUGCCGUAGGUCUUCGUGAGCAAGCAAGUUGGAUGCACACCCACUAGUUUUCCUUUUGAGCUUUCACAUACUUAUAGCUCUAGUGCAUCUCUUGUAUGGAAAUACCUACUCAUUCACAUUGAUAUCUAUUAAUGGGAAUCUCCAUAGCCUAUUGAUACGCCGAGUCAGUGUGGCCAUCUCCUCCUUUUUGUCUCACAACCACCACCACACUCUAUUCCACCUAUAGUGCUAUAUCCAUGGCUCGCGCUAUAUUGCGUGAUAGUUAUAAAAAGUUUGAGAAAGUAAGAGUGCAAAAACAAUUAUUUGGCCAAUUCCGGGGUUGUGCAUGAUUUACAUUAGUUGUGUGAGGAUGAUGGAGCAUAGCGAGACAAUAUGAUUUUGUAGGGAUAACUUUCUUUGGCCUUGUUAUUUUGAAAGUUCAUGAUUACUUUGCUAGUUUGCUUGAAGUAUUACUAUUCUCAUGUCAAUAGCAAACUAUUGUUUUGAAUCUUACGGAUCUGAACAUUCAUGUCACGUGAAAGUAGUUGCAAAGGACAACUAUGCUAGGUAGCAUUCCACAUAAAAAAUUCAUUCUUUAUCACUUCCCUACUCGAGGACGAGCAGGAGUUAAGCUUGGGGAUGCUUGAUACGUCUCCAACGUAUCUAUAAUUUUUGAUGGUUUCAUGCUAUUAUCUUGUCAAACUUUGGAUGUUUUGCAUGCCUUAUAUAUUUUUUGGGACUAACUUAUUAACUCAGUGCCAAGUGCUAGUUCCUGUUUUUUCCAUGUUUUGACCCCUUUCAGAGGAGAUUUUGAAACGGAGUCCAAACGGGAGAAAAUCCCCGAAAAGAUUUUUUUUGGCAUGGAAGAAGAUCGGGGAGCUUGGGAGCCAAGGCAGGGGAGCCCCACGGGCCCCACAAGCCUCCACCCUGCGUCCAGGGGGGCGCCAUCCAGGCUUGUGGGCCCCUUGGACGCCAUUUUCCCUAGGUCUUUCGCCUAUAUAUUCCCAUAAAUUCCAGAAAAAAUCAAGAGAUCAUCGCAAUCACUUUUCCGCAGCCGCAAGCUUCUGUCUCCGCAAGAUCCCAUCUGGGGCACGUCCUGGUGCCCUGUCGGAGGGGGGAUUUAGACACGGAGGGCUUCUACAUCAACACCAUGACCUCUCCGAUGAUGCGUGAGUAGUUCACCAUAGACCUACGGGUCCAUAGCUAGUAACUAGAUGGCUUCUUCUCUCUCUUGGAUCUUCAAUACAAAGUUGUCCAUGAUCUUCAUGGAGAUCUAUCCGAUGUAAUCUUCUUUUGCGGUGUGUUUGUCGAGAUCCGAUGAAUUGUGGA